AAAAACCAACUUCAACAUGCAGCCUGGAACCUCGGUGCAACUCUUUACUGCAUGUCCUGCAAUUGCUCAGAAAAGAAGACAUGGACAGAAGAAGCUGACAAUGCAGGCAUUAUGUCAGAAACCUUUGACUAUAAAAGUGGUAAAGGAUAUUCCGAGUUCAGCUAACUCCAACGUCAUGCAGGCAGCUGGACCAAAUGUGUCACAAGUUGUUGAAGAAAACUGUUGGGUUUCUCUUAGUUUAUAAGACAACAGUGCAGCGGUUCCACCACCUAGGAAGUGCCCAACGAUCUAGCCUCUGUUGUUACAAGUCUGCAUAAACUACCCCCAACACAGCUUCUACCCUCAUAUCAGAAAUCCUNNNNNNNNNNNNNNNNNNNNNNNNNNNNNNNNNNNNNNNNNNNNNNNNNNNNNNNNNNNNNNNNNNNNNNNNNNNNNNNNNNNNNNNNNNNNNNNNNNNNNNNNNNNNNNNNNNNNNNNNNNNNNNNNNNNNNNNNNNNNNNNNNNNNNNNNNNNNNNNNNNNNNNNNNNNNNNNNNNNNNNNNNNNNNNNNNNNNNNNNNNNNNNNNNNNNNNNNNNNNNNNNNNNNNNNNNNNNNNNNNNNNNNNNNNNNNNNNNNNNNNNNNNNNNNNNNNNNNNNNNNNNNNNNNNNNNNNNNNNNNNNNNNNNNNNNNNNNNNNNNNNNNNNNNNNNNNNNNNNNNNNNNNNNNNNNNNNNNNNNNNNNNNNNNNNNNNNNNNNNNNNNNNNNNNNNNNNNNNNNNNNNNNNNNNNNNNNNNNNNNNNNNNNNNNNNNNNNNNNNNNNNNNNNNNNNNNNNNNNNNNNNNNNNNNNNNNNNNNNNNNNNNNNNNNNNNNNNNNNNNNNNNNNNNNNNNNNNNNNNNNNNNNNNNNNNNNNNNNNNNNNNNNNNNNNNNNNNNNNNNNNNNNNNNNNNNNNNNNNNNNNNNCCCCCCCAUUCAAUAAAGUCCUCAGAAUCCCUGUUCAAAGUUGUUCUUGUAAUAAGGUUCAUCAUUUCUUCCUCUACACUAGUUUCCCACUCAAAUCUAGUCCUUCUCCAACCUAACCUCCAUGACCAACCUAACUCCCCCCACGUGCCUACCUCACCCACCAAUUUUCCUUGGUCUAGGGAUAUGGUAUAUAGUCUAGGAAACAGAAAUUUGAGCUUAUUAUUGCCCAACCAAGUAUCUUCCCAAAACCUGAUUUUGUCCCCGUUUCCCACUUUCCAUGAAACAUGGUUACGGAACCAACCCUCACCUUCUCCUUCUUCACAUACCUUUCCGAGAUCAUUCCACCACCAAGAAUAAUUUUUACCACACCCUUGAAAAUUAACCAAACCAUUAUAGUACUUAGAUACCAAGAUCUCCUUCCAUUUCCCUUCUUCUUCACUCAUCAUUCUCCACUUCCAUUUUGCAAGCAAAGCCCGAUUAAACUUCUUAAUAUCCUUGACCCCCAAUCCCCCUUCCUCCUUUGAUUUGCACACAUUUUCCCACCGAACCCAGGCAAUGUAUUUGCUAUCUUUGCCCCACCCCCAAAGAAACCUCCUCUGAAUACUGGAAAUCUUAUCACAAACUGCAGUUGGUGCUUUAUAGAACGACAAAUAGGAUAUUGUGUAAACAUUGUUUGAUACAUGUGGUAGACCUUUUAUGCUCUUUACUAAGUCAAUCAUCAUAAUAUAAAUUAAUAAUUAAAGUAUUUUAAACAAAUAUUAAGAGCUUCAUGUGGAGUUUUAAAUAAUGACUUUAUCGAUCUUCAUAUCUACACGAUUCUGGUAUAAAAUAAAAUGUUAACUUUAUGAAAAAAAAAUAUGUUGUUUGAGUAAGAAAUUUUAAAGAAAUUGAAAUUUUAUAAUUUUAUGAGAGUAAUUGGAUAAGUUAAAAUUAGAAAAAUUUAAAUUCUAUCCACAAUUUAAGAAUUUAAAGUUUUUCAUAUUUAUCAUAGUAAUGUAUAUUCUUUUUGUAUUCUCUUCUCAACUUUUUUUGGACUGUCACAAACACUAUUAAUACUAAGACAUUGUUAGGAUGACCAAUUUUCGUUUGAUAUUAGUUAGAUUUCUUUCAUUGAUUUUGAUAACAUUUACUUUUUAAUUAAAUUGUUAGAAUUAAUUUUGUUGUUUUAGAUAAUUUCGUGCUCAAUAAUAAUAAUAAUAAUAAUAAUAAUAAUAAUAAUAAUAAUAAUAAUAAUAAUAGGAGGAACUUCCUAGCUUCAGGACCAAAAUUUGUGCAGAAACAAUUUUAUUUGGUCAAGUUCUUCUUAAGAAGGAGAAUUCAGCUUUAAAAUUCUGGUAAUUGCUGCAAUUCUGAUUAUAAUUAUGCAGAGCAAUGCCUAUUUGUUCUGAGAGUAUUGAAGGGUUUAUUUUAUUUUUUAGCUUUAGCUUUAACUUUUAGCUCUAGCCAAAUAGUGUAGGCAUUUUUUGGUCUGCUUUGAAAAAGAGUAGGUUGACAAUAAAUCCUUAUUGUAAGGGUUGAAAUACUCUUAAAAAGUCUUAUUCUAGUUUAAUUUAUUCACUGUUAAUAAAAAAUGUAAGAGUUUUGUUAAUCAAUAUUAAAGAGAUUUCUAUUUUAUAGAUAUUUUUUUCAAAUGACGUUUAUCUUAGUUAUUUUUGUAAUUAGAUUUGAAUUCUCAUAAACAUAGUCAAAUAUUGAAUCCAAACAUAAAAUUAUGUUAUUUUCUUUUUCAUUUAUAAAAUAGAGGUAUUUUUAUUUUGACAAAUUACUCUGCCUAUAAUGUAAAAUGUUUGGAAAGUAACAUGAAAGAUAUUUAUGAACAAAGUUUUAGGCAGUAGCAUGAAAAAACUGAUCUUAAUAUUUCAAAAAAAUAUCAGCUAGUCAUUUGACUUAUUAAAGAAAAAAGAAAAAAAGGAGGGAAUACAAAUAUUUGUCUUGUGAUGAGAAAUUAUAGGUGAAUUCUUCUUAUUUAUAUAUAAUUUGAACAAAAAAUUGAAGGCAUGAGAAUUUAUUUGCUGAUAAGUGGUAAGGAAUGACUUAGUUACUUAUCUUUUUAUUAUUAGAAUACAUUUCCAUUGAGUCUAAUCCCCAACAAUUGGAUAAAUUACUUAUGAGUCUAAUAAAAAUAUUAAAAAGUUUACUAUCAAUGUCAUCUAACGAUUCGUAAUUGAUGAAAUAUUUAUUUUAAUUAUUUUGUGAAAAUCAAAUUUAGGGUUAUUCGUAUUUUUUGUGAAUGGAAUACUUGUGUGAUAAAUUGGUUAAUUUAAGAUUUAUUCAUAAAGAAUCUUUUUAUUGGUAUAACAUACUAUCAUCUAGGUUGUUCUUAGAAUUCUUUAUAAAUAUGUAUAAUUUAUCUAUGUAUCAUUUUUGUUAACAUAUGCGUUUUAGUCUAAUCUUUUCAUAUUUUUUUUUCUUUUUUAAUAAUACUUUUUGUUUUCAUGCAAUGAUAAAUAAUUAAUGUUACUUGAUGUGUAAAUAUAGCUCUAAAAUGUCAAAUUGCAUAAUGAUGUUUAACAUAAAAGUUUUUAUUUAAAAAUUAAUAAAAAUAUUAAACACAUCAUUUUGUAAUGUUUUUCACUUACAUAAUAUUUUUUAUUGAAAUAAAAAAUAAAAUAAAUAAGAUUAUAUGCCAAUAUGCAAUACCUUAUAGGCGUUUACAUGUUACACUUUGUCUUUAUUUCCCUGCACACAUCACAUCCCAACUGAGUUUCCAAUGUCAUUUAACGACACAUGCAUAAUUCACAAUAUAACCAACAACAAACUGUUUUCAAACCAUAAAUUUUGUAUUUACCAUCCUAUUCGCACCAUUUAAUGAUUAUCUUAUUUAUUUAUUCCUUAUUUAUGAUACAUUUGUCCAAAAUACUUUUUUUCCCAAAUUUUUAUUAUGAAUUUAUAAUGCUGGAUUAUAUGGGUGAUCAAAAGUGUCUGUUUAUCCGCACUUUUUUUUAUUUUUAUAAUUUAUAUAUAAUUAUUUUUAAUAUUAAAAUUGAAUAAAUGAUAUUAUUAUUUACACACUUAUAUUAUCAGUAUAAAUUUAUAGUUAAUUGUUAUCAAAAAAUAAAAAUAGAACCAGUAAUAACAAAUAUGAAAUUAUAAGUAACUAUUCAGUAAAAAGUGAAAAAAUAAUAAUAUAUUUUAUUCAAAUUGUUUCGUAAAUAAAUUAACAGUUCUGCUGAUUGAAAUGAUUCGUAAAUAAAAUGAGAAACCGUUAUGCUGAUUCAAAAAAAAAAGCAACAAAUAGAAAAUUAAAUUCAAAACUGUCUACAAAAUAACGUUAUUUUGGAUAAUUCUCUUUAUAUUUAACUGUUCUUUUAAAAAAAAUUAUAUAUAAAAAAACCAGUUACAAAAUAAUAAAAAUAAUAAUAAAAUAGAAAUAAAAUAAAAUAUUAAUAAAAUGUAACUGAUUUUGAAAAUAAAUCAAACCUCUCUUUCAAUUCAUAAUUGUCCCUCCACAUCUCUUUUAAUUCAACACCACUCUUCCACCUCUCUUUCAAUUCAAAACCGUCUCCACUACGUAUACCAAAUAUUGUAGAAAAAAUAAGAAAUGACACAAUGACCAUAAUACAAUAAUAAAAAUAAAUAUUAAUAUAAGGAUAAAAUGGGAAAAAAAUGAAGAGCAGUUAAGAGGGGAAUCCCCUUUAUAUAUAGUUAUAGAUUAUAUAUAUAUAUAUAUAUAUAUAUAUAUAUAUAUAUCGUUAAAAAAAAUAUUAAGAUAAAGAUACNNNNNNNNNNNNNNNNNNNNNNNNNNNNNNNNNNNNNNNNNNNNNNNNNNNNNNNNNNNNNNNNNNNNNNNNNNNNNNNNNNNNNNNNNNNNNNNNNNNNNNNNNNNNNNNNNNNNNNNNNNNNNNNNNNNNNNNNNNNNNNNNNNNNNNNNNNNNNNNNNNNNNNNNNNNNNNNNNNNNNNNNNNNNNNNNNNNNNNNNNNNNNNNNNNNNNNNNNNNNNNNNNNNNNNNNNNNNNNNNNNNNNNNNNNNNNNNNNNNNNNNNNNNNNNNNNNNNNNNNNNNNNNNNNNNNNNNNNNNNNNNNNNNNNNNNNNNNNNNNNNNNNNNNNNNNNNNNNNNNNNNNNNNNNNNNNNNNNNNNNNNNNNNNNNNNNNNNNNNNNNNNNNNNNNNNNNNNNNNNNNNNNNNNNNNNNNNNNNNNNNNNNNNNNNNNNNNNNNNNNNNNNNNNAUUAUAUUUAUUAAAUUAUAUAUUAUUUUAAAAAUUAGUAAAAUUAUUUGUAUUUAAAAUGAUUUUUAUUAUUAAUAAAAUUUACAAACUAGUUUUUAAAUUGGUAUCUAGUUAGCUAUUAAAGUUUUAGUUAAUAACUAUUUUAAAUUCUAAAGUUGGUAGCUAAAACUUUGAUAGUUAAUUAGAUACCAAGUUAAAAAUUAUUUAUUAAUAAUAAAAAUUAUUUUAAAUAUUAAUAUUUUUUUAGUCAAUAUAGUAAUUAAUUAUAUUUUAUUUUAAAAAUUGAUUUUCAUUUAAUGAUUUAUUUUAGGGUAUAUAUUAAUGACAAUGAAGAAAGUUGAAUUCUAAAAAGUUAUUUUUCUUGAAUAUUUUCAGAACAAUAGUACAAUUAUUUUUAUUUAUAAGGGAUAAUUACAUUAUAUUUAUUAUUUAAUUAUAAUCUCAAUUUUUCUUCUAAAAUAUAAAAACCUUGGAGUAAGUACAUUUAUAUGUAUAUAUACAUACAUACACGAAUACUUUUGUGAAUUAUUUCAGCUAUCAACGAUAUUUUUUCUUUUAUAUAGAAAGGGACAUCCAACCAAAUUCCAUAACCAUGAGCAUUAAAGAAUGUAUUAAAUAUUUACAUUCACAGCAAAGUUUCUGGAUUUUUAUAUGUAUAUGAAAAUAAAAAUAAGAGUAGUGUUCUCCUCACUUUUUUUUAUCAAAUAUUUUAAUUUAGUUUGCCAAGAAUGGUAAAAAUGGAAACAUGGAUAUUAUUGCUGUGUUACAGAGUGAAUAGCAUGACUUGAAGACUAACCUUAAAAACCCGAAGGAAAGGUGCACAUCGAAGGGAGACACAUCAAACAUUACUAUUAUUGAUUGUGCUUUAAGGGCAACCAAACUGGGGCCUUAUUCCUUCCACGUAAAGCACAAUUUGUCUCUUCUUAUGGUUCAUGCACACCCAAAUCACAUACUAAUUCAGUUAGAGCUAUUUGGCGCCUAAAUUUGCAUGAACCAAUUGAAACACCGUCUCUUACUGUCACAUUUUCUCUAAGCACCCCAAUCUCUGUCCUAUUCCUUACAAUUUGUCACAGGCCCCAUGCACAACAUUGCUGCCAUAUAUAUAAAUUCCACAUGUUCGAUGCUGCUACUGCAACCACCAACCAUAUAAUGGGUCAUCAAGGAGAGUACACCGAGCCAGAUAUCCUAGGUUCUGUCAUUGUUGCACUCAAAGUGUUUAUUUUCAUAUUCCUCAAACUUUUCAACACAAAUUAUUUCUGGGUUUUACUUUUGCAGAUUUAUCAUCAGAGAAUUGCCAAGGUUUUGAGUUUAACAGCAGUACUUGGCUUAGUUCAACGUUGGACUCACAAAAGGUUUAUCUUCUCUCUAGUUUCAACAGUUACACGGUUGAAUUUAACUCCGACUAAGAUUUUAAAUUGCAGUUGUGAUAUCAAUGUGGUUGCAUUCGUUGUUUUCUGAUUAUUCCAUCGUUGAUUUGAACAACAGGAAAAAACUGAAAACCGCAAAAGGGAGUGGCAUGACAAGUGUAACAUCGUUCCUAUUUCGGCAGAGGAGUUGAAGAUACGAAGUGAGCUUGGAAUGGAGAUUGAAAAUGACUUGGAAAAAGAGAUCAAGGAGGGUAUAUACCAGCUUGCUCUUCGGUUGCACCGGAUUUACCAGGAGAGGAAGGAAAGAAGUGCAAAAGAAACGUUUGAAGUUGACAAUAACCGAGGUAUAGCAGUUUCUGAAGUUAACAUAAGCAUAAGAAUGGAAGGGAGAAGUAAAGUUGAAAUAAGAGAGGUGAAGAAUGAAGAAAAGGAUGGUCCUUUUCUACGGAAUUUUAGGCCACAAAAUGUGAAGCAAGUGAAGAAGGUUGAUUGGGUAAAGACUCUGAGAGGAGGUUCAAGCCCUGUUUGUGGCAGCAGAUUAUCAAGUGUGAGCUCAAAGCACAAGGGGAAAAAGCUAAGCACAGACCCUAAUGGUUUAUCCAAUUGGAAAAUUCACGGUGGGAGGGGAAAGAAAGUUGGUUCCUUUGGGCUAGUAAAACAGAAUGCAAGUGUGGACAAGAAGAUACUUCAAUUGGGGUGGAAGGUCUGAAGGGCUUGUUUUUUUAUUCCUGAAUUUUAUUUUGUUUUGUUUGCAAAAAAUAAUUUUACACUUUUGAAUAAUUUGUAAGCUCAAUAAAUUUUUAUGGAAUAAAUUAUAAAUGAUUCUGAUAUUAUAUUAAAAAAUAAAUUUUGCUUUCAUUAAUUUUAUGAAAGUAACUUAUAAAGUAAGGUAUGAAACUACUAAUAUAUUGUUAAUUUUAUCUCUAAUUUUUGCUAAACUUCACUUUUAAAGAAGACUGGGCUAAUUACCGCAUUUUGUUGCAUGACACUAUAACCUUGUCACAAUUAGUGGCAUGAGAAGACAAAAGGUCUCCAUGUUUGAGACUUGUAUAUUGAACUCUUUACCACAAACACCAUUGUAGAGACACAUUUUAUAAUUCACCUCCUUCAGUUUCCUCUAAAAUAUAUGUUGCAUCACAUACAAUAGUUAAUGCCAUCUUAAUGAAUUGUAGGCUUUUUUUUAAAAUUAACCUUUACAUUUUAUCACCUACUACCUAAUGGGUGAUAAACAACAUUUAAAUAAUCACUAGUACAAAAUGUAUAAACAACGAUUAUUUAUUUAAUACGAUUUUAGGGUUAGUUGUAAACUCGAUAAAUUUUUUUAAAUUAAUUUCAUUUACUAAUGUGCCUAUUUGUAAUAGCUGCAUUCUUAAAUCAAAACACAUGAUUUAUGAAUGCGACUAUUUAAAUAGUCGCAUUCUUAAUAGCCGCAUUCUUAAAUCAUUUUUUACCCUAAUUUUGAAGCGCGUCACUUACGCUUUUUCUUUGUUUAUGUUCUGGUGUUCCUCUCUUCAUGCGAGUUUCAUUGUGUUCUCGUACCAUUGUAAGUUCGUUUCAAUUCGCUCUCUUUCUUCUUCACCAAUGGUUUAUAAAUUUUUUUCAUUUCACUUAUUUGUUUGUUUUCUUGCAUUGGCGAAGGGUUCUUUGACGCUUCAUUUUCUCUUUUGUUUUUGCUCUCUCGUGCUUUCUCUCGUUUUCUACGAGCCUUCAUUGUCUUCUUUGUGCAAUUGUAAAUUCGUUUCGAGUUCUUUUUCUUCUUCACCAUUGGUUUAUAUAUAUUUUUUCGUUUCUCUUAUGUAUUUGUUUUCUUGUAUUGACACUGCUUCAUUGCCUGUUGUUUGGGUUAUUGUUAUGUCGUAUUUGCUCGGUUGUUGUUGCUGCCACCGCUAUUGCUGCCCUUAGGGUUUAGGGUUUUUAUUUUUAUUUUUUUAAAAUAAUUAAAUAAAAAUGCGGCUAUUUACCAUAGCCGCAUUUAUAAAUCGCAUUUACGAAUGUGGCUAAAUAGGCGCACUUGUAAAUCUCUUAUUUAAGAAUGCAUGCUGAUCAAGUGCGGCUAUAUAGCCGCGCUUAUAAAUGUAAAAUAGCCGCAUUCAUUUUGCCUUUCUGCACCAGUGAAGAUUAACUUAUACAAAAAAAAAAAAAAACCGUUAGUAUUCAAAAGUAUAGAUUUCAUGAACAUAUUAUUUUUAAGAAGAAUUUCCAUAAAAAAUUAUGUUAAUUUUUAGUAUCACUACAAGAAAAUCAUGAAAUAGAAAUCAAUUUUAUAGAUACAAAAUAAUUAAUUGUUAUAGUAACUAAAUUAGAGAUCAUUUUAGAGAUUAAAAAAUAUUUUGGUUUAUAAAUUAGUUUCUAUGCUAAAUAGUUUCUAAAUUGGUAUCUAAUUAACUAUCAAGAUUUUAACUACCAAUUUGGUAGCAAAAACUUUGGUAGCUAAUUAAAUACUAAUUUAGAAACCAUUUAACCAUAAUAGAAACUAAUUUAGAAAUCAAAAAAUUUUCUAGUCUCUAAAAUGGUUUAUAAUUUAAUUACUAUAACAAUUAAUUAUUUUUUGUCUCUAAAAUUUGAUUUUUAUUUUAUGAUUUUCUGUAUGGUGUAUAAAUAUCACCUAUGAAACAUUUCUACUUAAACCCUUGAGAUUUAUUUAUGUUUGUCAUGUAUUCUACAAUUACAUAUAUAUUUUACCUGUCAGCAAUAAUUUUUAAUUCAAUAAAUGAACGAUCUUCUAAUAUUAUUAAAUAAUGAAGAUCACAAUUUUAAAUUUAUUUUCCAAACCCAAUAAUAAAAAAAAUUAACUUGUGGAAAGUUAGCAAAAUUAAAAAUAAAUAAUUAUUAAAAAAAUUUAGUUACUAACUAUAUUAUAAAGUUAGAUAAUUUAUUACAUAUUAAUUUAUAAACUAUUUAUUAAUAAUAAAAACUAUUUUAAAUAUUAUUAAUGUGUGUAUUGUCUAAAAUAAUAUAUAAUUCGAUUAAUAUAAUUAGUUAGUUUAUAUUUAAUUAUUUUUUUUUGUAUAAUUAGUUAUUACAAAAAUUCAGUAUACUUAUUUUAAAUCGAUUUUCAUUGCUGAUACUUUGAUUACAUUUAUAUCCAUAGUAUUAAUUUCCUGUGGCAUUUUAUCAUAUUUUCAUAUCUUUACAGUUUAUGUUUUAUGAAAAAAAAUAUUAAAUAUAUUGUUAGUUUCUAACAAAAAUUGCUUUAGUUAGUCUUCUCUUCUAAAAAUAUAUACUGAUAGAGAAUAAUAAUAAUAAAUUAUCUGCAUAAUAUAAAGGGAAAAUUGAAAAAUAAUAAUUAAAAUAAGUAAAAUAAAAUAAAAAUAUAUUUAAGCUGAAAAUAUAAUAUAUUGUUAUUAUUUAUAGGACAAAAACAGCAUAAGGGGUCGUAUGAUGAUUUGAAUACGGACUAAAAUGUGGAGCAACCAACGGAGUCCUGGUCCACACAUUCAACGUCUUGUCUGUCAGAAGGGUCUUGCAUUCUAUAGCUCUAUCCUUGUGACAAGACUAUUCGUUAAAAUUGCACUAUCAUUAUACAUUAGGCUAUAUAUUUUUGUUUUUCAAAAAUUGAAAUUUGAAUUUAUAUAAGGGUGCAUUUAAACAUAUUGGGGGUGCAGAAUGCAGAGCCCCUGUGAAAAAUGAUGGGUCUUGGAAGGCCCGUGAUAUUAGAAAAGAAAGGCCAAGUGGGAUGGGAAAAAGUGAGAAAGGCGUGUUUGGUAAGUUGGGUUGUAAUUAAAGAAAUGCAUGUGGUGAAUUGGUAUUUAUUUGAAUGAUAAGGAAAAGAUAGAGUGAGAAUGUGGGGGCAUAAAGAUUGGUGUUGGAAUGAUUGUGAAAGGAAAAUAAGAUUGUUUGGAUAUUGGGAAGCAGUAGGGACGGAAGGUUUGAAGGUGAUGGGUGUAAUUGGUAAGGGACACAAGGUAAGCUCACAAACCCAACUUCCUUCCAAACUUUCUCCUUUUUCCUUUCGAAUCAUCAAUUUUUCCUUUGCCAAAACUUUCUAAUCCCGAACCACCUUUCACUUCACACUUUUCAAAUUAUUCUUUUCCCUUAACUACAUCCUUCUUCUACUUAAUUAUGCUCAAUUCCUAAACCCUAACUUCACAUCUUCUUUCAACAAUAACAAUCACUCAACAUGCUCAAUUAUUUCAUUCCAACUCUAUAACUGCACUGCUGAAUAUAUCAGUACUGGGAAAGAAAUUAUCAACUCUUGUUAAUUAUACCACUUCAGUUUGGUUUACAUUAUAUAUUCGCAAACACAUAGAAAUUAAAGGAGAAAUUUGUGUCAAGAUGGCAUCCUUCACUAACAUGUGUUUCCAAGAGUUAUGCUAAUUAACAGGUGUUUUCAAACAUACUUUUUAAGGAAUUCUAAAAAAAAUUGUCUUUUUAUUGAAUUUCACACUGGAGUUCAAUUCAAUGUAACAAUAAAAGUAUAUUCCAAUAACAGACCUUCAAAAAUUUUAAUCUUUAAUUUCUUGACUAGAGUAUAUUGACAUUCUCCUUUACUCGAAUUGAAAAUUCUUCUCUAUAAAGUUUUGAAUAUAUUAUUUUAUUUUAUAUAUGUUAUUGAUUAUCGAACUUUCAUGUUGCUUUUGGUCUGCUCUACCUAGCUGUACAAAGCAAUGAUACUUUCGUAUGUAAAUAUUCACAUCAUAUAUAUAAUUUAUCCUUAAGAACAGUUAUUAUUUAAUAAUAAUAUAAUAACGUAAAAUUAAUAAAAUUUCUCUAAUGGAGAAAAAUUAAUAACCCUCACAACGACGGAGCUUAAGAUGAUGUUAUUUUCACACAUAAUUUUUGUAUAUUUUUGUUCAUGUCAUUUGACUUAUUGCUAUGAUUAUUGGCUGCAGAAUUAGAACUUUAUAACUGACGUUUUUCCCGGAAGUAUAGUAAACCAUUUCUCUUUGAUUGUGUUAGCUAUGCGUGUUCAUUUCUCUUGAAAAGUGGUUAUAAUUAGCGAAGAUGAUGAGUGUGUGUUGCAUAGAAAGAAAGCAUGAGAUGUGGGAUGAAAUUAAUGAGGAUAUUAGAUGAAGUGAUGGUACGUAGUUGGUGAAGUGAAAAAAAGGCAUGGGUGGUUGUGGUGUGAGUUGGAGGAAGAAUAGGGUGAUUUGACGGGCAUGGAGGUUUUGGGAAGAGAUGGGAAAUGAAUGAUGGAAGGGAUAAUAUAGACAGUAUCCGUUAAGGUAGGAGAGAUACGGGUAUCUUAUCUCAUCUCAUCUCAUCUCAUGCAAUGCAAUGCAAUAACCAAAACUUGCACCAAAGGAUUACAUUACAUUACAUUGUGUGGACCACAGUGGAAGCACGCAGCUUUAACUGAUGCUCAAGACCCCCAAAACAAGCAAAGCAUCUUAAACGUGUAAUAGGUAAUGCCCAGGCUUUGGACUACUUAAGAAGCAAGCUGUCCAUAAAAGCAUAAUAUCCUGCUACUAUUAUUCAAACAUCUACACUUUCAUUCUUUCAAUUACCAACCUUACAAACUACCACACUUCUCCAUCUUUCCCCAACUAAUCAACCAGGUCCCCCUUUUACCAUGCACAUUAAACCUCAUCCAUAAACCUACAAACAACCCUCACUUUACAUUCAUCAACCACCUUCUAUAUCUACACUUCUACUCUUACUUCACCUUUUUAAGUACCAAACACAUUCUUAAAUGCAACACCUUCAACCAUCAUUCUUACACGUCACUCAGAUUCUACUCAUACUAAUAGAUUCUCUCCCCCAUCUCUCUCUAAACCUCACUCAUGCUUCACUACAACUCUCAUACCUGCUAGCUGCACCAAUAAAUAAAUAAAUCAACCUCCUGUCCCUAUUUAACUAUUUAUUCUCUGUGUUUAUUUAUAGUUUCUUCAUACAAAGCAAAAAUAUCCUUUUCCAACUCGAAAAACAGAGAUAAUACGGAAGGAAAUUAAAGUCACAGAAAAACUGUCAUGCAUUUCUGAAUUUACAUUUACCCCACUUCAGAAUUUGAGUUUUACAGCAUUUCUUCCCAGCAUAAAAGAGAACAUAACAAAAUAAUUCCUCUCAAACUUCAGAUAACUCACAUGCAAUAAAAUAAAAAAAUUAAUUACAACAGUCCCUUUCCACGCUCAGACCCAGGUCAUGAUGAAGAAAGACCCAACCACCAAUAGAAACAAAACUGGUUCCCACUCAACCUCUUCCCCCUCCACAGUGAAUUGAUCAUAUAACAUCUUAAGAAAGUGUUACUGAUUUCUAGCUCGUUUGAGAAAACAACGUCCAAAGAAAUUCAACACAGUGCCGUACAAACAGUCCAAGGGUUACAAACUACUCACAACUAUUCAUCUUACUUCCGAACUAAUGUAUAUUAUCCUUGCAGAGAUUAAGCAAGUCGAACACUGUUAAGAAAGUCAAGAAAUUAAGCUAAAGAAAAUUGAAAAUGCACGAGGGGGAAGCUGAAAUGAGGCACAAACUAGGACGAAGAUUUUUGUCGCUUUUUUCAGUGCGCGGUGUUAGCGAAAGACAUGAAAAACGGAAAAUGCAGGUGGGUGAGAACGCGUACAUUGAUACUACCGAGGAAGUUCCUGCUUCCUAGUUCCAACAACUGUCUUAGGAUAGAGUUAUCAUAACAUUAUAGACAAACAAAACAGAUGUCAUCUUAAUCAAUUAACCCUUCUCGUCACCUAUAUAUAUAUCUGAUAUCAUCAUCACCAUCCACCAGAAAAAAAAGGUUCCAAACGCGUCACCACCACCACCAUUGUAACAAACUGCAAAAGAAUUCUAACACUAGAACGACAUCAUAAAAAGACUGAUUUUUUGAACUGAACAGAAAAUUAAAUUAGUCCAUGGGCAUCAGCAAUAAUAACUUGAUCUAAUUAACUUACCUACCUCCUCAAACACUAACACAAUAAGAAGAGAAAGAAACCCUAACAAUUUGGGUGGGUGGGUGAGUGAGCUUAAGGGUUGAAGAAGUUUGAACAUCGGAAUUUGCGCACUUUACUAGGGCUUCUUACCGAGAGUGUGCUUGUUGUUAUGCAUCCAAACCUUGAGAACGUGACGCUUCACCCCGGUUUCGUUGCAGAAAGCUUGGACCACACCCUCGUCGUGUUUCUGAAUCCUCCACCCUAGUUUUUCAGCAAGUUCAAGCAUUUUGUCCUUUUGCUCCUGCGUGAACUUUGUUCUGAACCGUUUCUUGGACCCCGUUCCUCCUGCACUCGGGUUCGAAACGUCCUCCUGGUCCUCCCGAGUGCUCUGCGUCCCGCCGCCGCCGGACGUCGACGGCAGCGCUAGCGUCCCAGUCACGCGUGCCUGCCCCCCCACCUGAAGGUACCCAGUCGGGGUCCGGUAGUACGCCGCGAACUGCGGCGGCGGAGGGUGGUGCAGGUGGUGGUGCGAAACCAAGAACGGGUCGACACCGCCGACGGAGGCGCCGGCCCCGUCGCUCUCCUUGCGGUGAAAGUUGCGGUGGCAGCUGCAGGCGGCACAUUUGAGGGCGUCGAGGGAACCCUCCGUCCCCGCCGCCAUGAACUCGCCGCAGCCGUCGAGCGCGUGGCCCCCGAUGCCGACAGCGUGGUCUUGAGACACUCUCUGUAGCGCGCCCUCCCGGAGCCACCGUUGGUGCUGGUUCUGACUGGCUGCGCCGCCAUGACGGCCUCCGGGCCGAGCGGAAGCUUCAUCCGGGUGGGGUCGAAAGCUGCGGCACUCAUACACUGCUCCUCCUCUUGGUCCUCUUGAUCCUCGAAUUCCAUUUUGCAAAAUUGGCGAAAAUCUUAAACUUAUGAGUCCUAUUAAUGACAAGUGAUGGGAAAAUCUAAAAGGGGGUCUCAGUACUCUUCUCGCAGUGUUUCUCUCUCUUUGUUCUCUGCUCUCGUCGUGCUUUCUUUGUCCAAAGGUGUAUUCCUUCAUAUACUUUUGCGGUUCUCUGUUUUGGGAGGACACGACAAUUACAGCAUAAUAUACAAAACUCUCUCUCUCGAUUUGUCUUAAGAUCAUCACCUUCCACCGGCUGUUCCGGUCACUCCGUAAUUUGUUCCGUUUUCGUUUUUCACCGCGAUAUUUUUUCACUUUGCCUCACUCUAGUACUACUCUCAUCACUCCAGGACAACUGACAAAAGGGAUCAAUUUUACUUCAAUAAUAUAUCUCAGUUUUUAAUGCAAAUCUUUAUGAUACAGAACCACCACUCUCCAAGCAUAUGUGAACCUCUUUUCCAGUUUUCUUUUUCUCUAUGCACCAUUUUAUAUUACUCAUUUCAUACAAAAUUCAAAUCCACUCCAUAUCUUUUUCAUUUUCCUAGUAUUCAUAACAAGCUGGUCGUAAAAUUAUUAAUAUAACACACUUCUGUGUUUCUUUGCAUAUGGAAGCGAAAAUCAAUUGUGUGAAUAAGUGGGUUUGUUUUGGUAUAAGGUUAUUAACACAACACAUUUCUAUGUGUUUCUUCGCAUAUGAAGUGGAAAUUCAAUUAUAUGGGAUCCACUAUUUUUUAUAUUUUCUUCUUUAUUUCAUUGGUACUAAAUAACAUAGGCUUCAGUCACUUUUCGCAUUUUCAUUUCCUCCUUUUCGUUUCUUCACCAUAAGAAGUGGAAGACAACAAUAAUCUCAAAGAGUGGGUGUAUUGGUGUAUUAUGUUACAAGUGAAUAAUUAAAACAUUUCUACAUAUUCCUUUACAUAUGAGAGUGGAAAUUCAAUUGUGUGGGGACUACUAUUUUUGUUAUGUCUUUCUUCUUUAUAUCACUGCUAUUAAACAACAUAAGCUUACUUUUUCCAUCUCUUGUUUUUUUUUCCUUCUCUUUUUUUCACAAGAGGAAAACAACAACAAACUUAUAUUUUUUACAUCCACCAUAUUUAUUUAAAUGAUGCCAAACAACAUAAAGUUUUUUUCGCUAUAAAAAGAUUCUGAUAGUGACAAUUUUAAGGAUAAUGUUAGCUUCUUUGAUGAGGUUAAUAAAUUUAAACAUUUUUAUGUAGUCCUUUCCUAUAUAAGGUGGAAAAUCAAUUAGGUGAGAAUUAGGUGAGAUCUAUUUGUUAGAUAUUUUACAUCUAUUAUACAUAAUAACAAUUUGGAAACAAUAUUUUUUAUAUUUUUUUCUCUUUAUUUUCUAGUUAGAGAUGAUGUUUUUGUAGAUGGAUAAGGGUACGUAGAUGUUGUGCUUGCAUGUCUCAUGAUGUUUGAUUUACAACUCAUAAUGCGAGUGCUAGGUUAAAGAAUGAUGUUGUUUUUAUAAGGGUUGAGGUGUAUCUGAAAUACCUUCAUUUUUAUUUAUUCUUUUUUUAAGAUAAAAAAUUAUUUUUUGCUCUUUAUUUUCUUAUUACUAAACAACGCAAGCACAUAGUCACUUCUUUGCAUUAUAAUCCACUUUUUUCAUUUCCUUUUUAUGUAGUUACUUCUUUGUAUUUUCAUCCACUUUUUUUCAUUUCCAUUUCAUAAGUGGAUGAUGGUACUAACAAGUUGAAGGAGGAGCUUACUUUGAUAUAAGGUUAAUAAAUUAAUGCAUUCUUUUAUGUUUUUUUCACUUUGCAUAAGAGAGUAAUAUUCAAUGCAAAAUCCACAAUUUUGUUAUAUCUUUCUUUUGUUUCAUUGUUACUAAACAACAUAUGUUUUGUUACUUGUUCACAUUUCAUUCCCUUCUUUUGGCUUACAUCAUGAGAAUAAAAAGACCACGAGAAAUUGAAAGAAUAAGGCUCGUUUGAAAAACGAGCAAUUCACAUUUCUACACAUUUUGCAUAUCAAAGUGAAAAUUCAGUAUUCUUUCAUAUCUUGCCUUUUAGUUUCACUUUUAAUAAACGGCACAAGUUUCAAUUUUUUUUUAUUUUUGGCAUAUUCAUCCCUUCUCAUUUUCUUUUCAUAAAAAGAGGAAGGCGAUGACAAACAUAAUAGACAUUGUUAUUCUGAUACAAAAUAACAAAUAAACACAUUUUUUUUUUACAUUUUUAUCUCUCUUUCUCAAUCUUUAAGAACGAUAAAGAGAUUCAUCCGUUUAAAAUUUAUGGACUACUAUUUCUAACUCGUUUUGCAUAAUUGUGACAUGGGAAAUAGACCUGUGCUUCUUAAAACAAUUAUGGUAAUAAAUAAAAAAUAAAAAAUAAGUCAAAAAUAAUUAAUUGAAUGAAAAAUAGAAAAAAAAUAGUAUUGUACAGAUAAUAAUAAUAAUAAUAGAAGUAAAAAGUAAUCGAAAUAAGAAAAGUUGGAGACAGACGAAAAUCAUGCGACGCGCUUGAGCAGAUGGCAUGAGAAGCACUGAAACUGAGUGCACGCAUUCCGGUGGGUGAAACGAGUGACGUGGUAUGGAAGUGGUGGAAGGGGGCGCGUGGGCGGCGCGUGUAGUUAGGGGAGCUGAAGAAAAUUGGUUUGUUGUUCCCACAUAGGAGGGAUAAGUGAGGGCGGGGCCAGGAGGAGUGGAGUGGGUGUAGGGUUAUAGGUAGGAGGAAGCACCAUUGUACCUUUGCACACACUUAGAUUGGAUAAUAUUUUACUUUUUAUUUUAAUUUUUUGUUCCUACUUUUUCUAAUCCCUACCUUUCUUUUAUUUCUUAGACUUAAAAUUAAAGUCUACAUCUAUGAUUUUUGCAAAGAACAAACAGAAUUUGAGUGAUAGGUACUAGGGUAGUAGUGGUAGAAUGAGUGAUCACCAUUAUUAUUAUUAUUAAUAUUUUUAUUAUUAUUAUUACAUAAGAAAAUAAAAAUGUAUGUUGUCAGCAUCAAAGGCAGCUGUUGCUACGUGCGGUCUUCUCCGACAUGGGUCACGAGCGUUUGGCGUCAUCAUGCACUUACUUCGCUAAACUAAUUCAAAACAAGUCAAUACUCAAGAACUACGUUGCUUAAAAUAACCUCCUUUCACGUAUCAAUUCAUUUUAAUACAUGUACUCUUCUUUUAGCAAUUACUUUAUAACAAGCUUUUAUGGAAAAUUUGUUUGUAAGACAUAAUUAAAUCAUUUUUUAUAAAUAAAAUAAUAAUUUAUACAUGAAUUUAAAAAAAUAACAAAUUCAAAAUAUAAUACAAGUUAAGUUCUACACAUUAGUUUAUGAUUAAACUAAUUUUGAAGAACUUUAUUUUACUUUUUAUUCUUGUUUUAAUCUUUUUUUUUAAGUUAUGAGUCUGCGCAUUGUUCAUUUUCUGAUUGGUAUAUAGAUCCGUUGAUUUAUAUGAUGAUAAUCUCAUGAUAUAUUCCUUUAAGUUGUAUGAUUGUUUGUCUUAAGUGACUUUCUUUAAGUUAAGCUAGCAGAAUUCUAUAUAAACAUACGUGAGAGUUCGUGUAUAAGGGUUGAACCACUAUAAAGUAGUUCAUAUUUAUUCAUUUGUUAUUAUCGAUAAAAAAAAUAAAAGAUAAUUUAAUAUUAAAUAUAAUUGUAAUAUGCUUACAUUUCCCAUAUUUUAAAAUUAAAUUUAGCAGUACUUUAUAAACCUUCUUUAAUUUUAAUUCAUUGAAUUAAUUCUUGUAUUUUAAUUUAUAGAAAUUAUAAUAGUCACAAAAUACCAAAAUUGUAAUAUAGUUCUUCUUUUAAGUGAGAAACUUUAAAAACAUAAUAAUUACAAAAAUAUAUAUUCUAGAUCGGUUAGAUUAAAACUUACCUUUUUACAUUAAUUAUUAGUAGACAUUGAAACUUUGAUUUUUUACCAAAAUAACGCAUAUAUUAAUUUAUCAAUCAUUAUAAAAUAUCAAAAUAAAUAAUGUAAAAAAAUUAUAUUAUAAUAAAAUGCUAUUAUUUAUUUAAGUGACUUAAAUAUCGUUGACAUAGUGUGAUUAAUAAAAUUAAGAUAUAGUGGAUUGUGAUAUCCUGAAUACUUUUAAUUCUAUCAAAUCACGAAUGCAUUUUACCUUUCCCAGCUUCCAACUUCUUACUUUUGAAUAUUUAACUUGCUUGAUACGAUAUUGUUUUGUUCAAGACACAAGAAAAGAAGAAAAUUGAAGAGAAAUGAGUUUGGGAUUUUGAUAGUAUCAUUUUGAGAUGCAGGAAGCAAACAAUGAGUGAGCAUGUCUUGACCUUGUGAAAAAUAACCAGCCAUUGUCUUCCCCAAUCUCUAGGAAAGCACAACCAACCUUACUCAAACAUAACCAAACACGCAUCAUUGUUUUUCCUACACAAUCAUGUUUUUUUUUUUCAGAAUAAUUUUUUUUAAUUUUUUGGAAGCUAGGGAAGAAGAUUAUAUGGUUGAUUUGUGAUUGUCCAAAAAUAUCACUAUUAUUCAAAUCAAAAUACAAAAGAAAAAAAAAAGAGAUAAAAGAUGAAAUUAUGUUUGUUUGCUGAUAUUUAAUAAUAUUUUUUUUAUCAAUAAUAAAUAAAUAAAUAGAAGAUUUUCACUAUAAUUAAUAAUUAAGAUUCUAGAAUCACGUAAAGAAGUUUGAGAUUAUUUGAAAGAAGAAUACGAUGGGAAAAAAAUAAGAAUUGAGAUAUGAGAGCAUUAUAAGAAAUUUUGAAUUGAAUGCGAUGAAAGAGUUAAAGAAAAAUAAAAAAUACUCAAAUAAAUUGUUAGGUAUUAUUAACCGGAUAAAAUUUUGGUAAUGGGGUUGGAGAAUUAUGAAACAUUUAUUACUUCGUUAGAAAACACAAAUAAUUUGUCAACAAUUACUUUGAUAGAAUUGAUACAUUUGUUGCAAGCACAAAAGCAACAAAGAUUAAUAAGAGGAGUCUCUACCAUUACCAUUGAGGGUAAGAUAAAAGUUUUUUCGCAAUCAAGAACUACAAAAGGAGUAAAUACAACAAAAACAAAAGACAUAAAUUUUUCAUCUUGUUCCUACUCCAAAAAAAAUCACCAACAUAACAAAUGUUAAUGAACGCCAAUUGUAAAAUGCUAAGUUGGGAUAUGUGGAAAAUAUAUGCAAAUCCCAAUAUUCAUAAGAAAAUGUUAAGAUUGUAAAGGAAUAGUGAAUUAGAAGACGAACUACUUCUUGCAUUGCAACUGCAUUUGUUACAACCAACAAAUCUAGAAAACAUUGGCUUAUAGAUAGUGGUCUUUACAAAACACAUGACCUAUAAUGAAUAACUUUUGAAAGAGCUUAAUAAAUCAUAUAUUUCUAAAGUAAGAUUUGUGAAUGGAAAAUAACUUAUUGUCGAAGGUAUAUAGAAUUGCAAUUAAAAAUCAUUUAAUUGUCAACUUAAUUUUUGAUAUCUUAUAAAUAAUCGAGAUUAAUCAAAAUUUGUUAAGUGUUGCUAAACAAGGUUAUAAGGAGUACUUUGAAAACAAAAUUUUUGCUUUGAAUUUGAUGAAAAAUGAGUUUGUUACAAAUAAAGAAAAUAUAAAAAAAAGGUCAAAAUAAAAAGAAGAUGAAUAUUUUUUGAAAAAAAUUCAUGUCCAAUAGAAAGUAUACGAAGAACCACAUUCUAACGUCCAUCAAAAGUACAACAUGAAAUUAGUAAUAGACAAAGAAGAUGAGAUUGAUGAAAGAAGAAUUACAAUUUCAAAAUGAAUAAAAAAAAUAUAUAAGAACUAUGAAUAAAAAAGAGAAUAUAUGUCAAACAUUAAAAAAAAUGAUAAUAAAAUUUAAAAUUCAAAUAAAUAAAUAUUAAGAAAAUAAUAAAUAUUGAAAACAUUUACUUAAUAUAUUUCAUUGUUUUUCACAAAAAAGAUAUUAAUUUUUUAAGAUAAAAAUAUACUUGAUAAUAUUUUAAUAUUUAAUAUUCCGUUAAAUAAAAUAAAUCACAAAUUUCUCCAUCUAACAUUUCUCUAUUUUCAAAAUGUCAACAAUUUUUCCUCUUUCAUAGAAUUUAGUUUUUAUUUUAUUAUUCUUUAAUUUUAAUUAAAAGAUUUAGUGUUUUUAUUAGAUUUAUUUAAAAAAAAAGCGACUAAAUAGUCAUUAUUGUCCCGGUAGGACUACUUAUAAGAUGGGUUUUCAACCAAAUUCUUCCUCUCUAUCUUUUAUAUACACCUGCUUUUUAAUUGCACGCCCAUUUAACUUAAAUAACAGAUAAGCUUCUUUUCUCAUAACUUAAUACAUUCUUUUCGUUUUUUCCUCUGUCCUUAUGAGCUUACUUUUCUUUACAUUUUUACUGGUUUCAGUAUAUUACGCGAAGCAUUCAACUAACAGUUAAAUUAGGUAAAUCCGUUAGUAAUAAUCGAUCAUGCUUAAGAAAUAAAUUCAACAGCGUCUAUUACAUCGUACAAAAAAGUUGAUUAAUGGAUUAAUUAAACAAUAAAAAUAAUAAUUAGAAUUAAAAUCGUUAAUAUUUACCCGUGUAUAAUGUUUUGACCUGGGGGGCUGUAACCGAAACUGUCAUGCUUGAAGCUGCUGCUGCUGCUUAUGUCUCGACACAUGAACCUUUUUCAAAUUUAACUACAACGAACAGUACAAAAUUAUUAGAAACUUUUUCGAGUGAAGGAUUUUUUAAAAGUUAUAUAUAAAUAAUUUCCUCAUUAAUUUUAGUACUGUAGAAGUAAGAGUAAUAAAUUAAAAAAUAAAAUGUCUUCUUUCAAUCUUACUUUUGUUUGAUUGGGAUGACAUGACAGGGAAGUGAGUUUGAUGAAAAUUUUGAGGGCCAAUUAUCAAAUUCAAGUAUUAUCUAUUUUAUAGGUCUGUAUUUUGUUAUAAUUUUAUUUUAAAAAAAUAUUUUAGUGAGUUAGAGGAGAGAUGAGUAUAUACAUUAUAGAAAAUAUUGAUGAUAGUCUUUAAAAAAACUCACUAAAUAAUAAUUAGAGUGAAUUUAAUUUUUCUUAAGAUUAACAUUAAUAUUUUUAUAGUGAUAAAUAAUGUACUGCCGGAGAAAAAAAAAUGUGAAGGCAGUUAAUAUUAAAAGGAAUAUGAUGAAUAAAAAAAAAGUAGGAUUGAGAGGAAAGUUACGUCAACAUCAGAUAGAUUUGAUGAAAGAUGAGGAAAUAUAAGCCAUAAUGCAUGUGUUAACUAAAAAUAAGUUGAAGAUGCAUAAUAACAUAUAUAACAUAACAUAGCAAAACAAAGAAGAGAAGAUACGGAUCCCACCCAAAAUUAUUGUGUGUACUCUAGACAGAUCUCUGACUUGUCUAUUUUGGUUGAAAUUUAUUUUGAUGUUUUUGUAUAGAUUGAGAGGAGAUAAAAAGAUAAUAUUUGAUUGAUUUGGUAUUAUCCAUUUUUGUAAUUUUGUUGAUAAGAAAAGGUGAAGUGGGCAGUCUAAUCACAUAAAAAUGUGGGAACGGCCCCCAAUAAUUGAUGCAGAAAGGUCCUUGAUCACCACUCUUUAUUACUUUCAUUCUCCUCUCAACUCACAACUCACGCUAAUUGCAUCCCUUGUCGUUUCGUAUAAUCGCAAACUAGUUAAAAUAGCCAAGCAUUUCAACUUUCAAUUCAUUGAGUCAGACACACUUUAGCCAAAACAAGAUAAACGAAUAAAGCAUCCAACCAUCCUUCAUAUUUUACAACAUCCCAAACUACUUUCUUCUAAUCCUCUUACAACACCCUAAUCACUAACCCCUUCAAAACCCAACCUCCUUUGCUCCAUUUCCUUAUAAGGAAAACCCAUCCUUAACAACAUUUUUUUUCAUCAAUUUCAAAUUAAGACGAAAAAGGGUUUGGGUGGGAAGUUAGAGGCAUUGGUGAAGUGGUAGAUGGACUUCAUCAUGUGAUGCUCCAAAAACAGCCAAAACGGACGGAUAGACGUCUGAUGGGACCUUCUGACACACGCACACAGAGAGUACUCAAUCUCUUUGUCGUGUCGUGUAUGGGUGUUUCACAUUUUUUUUUAUUUUCAUUUUAAUUAAAUAUGUCAACAUAUUAUUGUUUUUCACUUCAUUUAACAUGUAUUACGCUGCAGAUUUGCAUUUUUAUUUUUCAAACGAAUCAUCAUUGCAUGAUAAUAACCAUUAGAGUGUAUAUAUUGUUUAUUUCUUAAAUAAAAAUGAUGGUUUGAUUGGUAUGCUCAGCGUUGCUGUUGUUUACUGAUAUAAUAUAUAUAUAUAUAUAUUUUUUGUUGUGUCAGCUGGCGGGAAACCGCAGAUAGAACAAGACAGAAUGAGAAACAAUAAACUUUUUAUGUGUACUGUGUUGUGUCACCUACCACAACCAUGAACCAAACCAAACCAACAACACAUGCACCACUCUCUCUCUCCGUUGAGUGAUGGCACAAGCCCUUUCUCCCCGUUGAGGUAGAAUGAUGAAGAAAAUAAGAACGGGACGGAAAAGUUGUGCUGUGCCCGUUGAGGUAGCUCCAGGGUGAGAGUGAGAGAGAGAGAAAGAGGGAAUUGCGGGGAAAAGGGAAGUGGAUAGUGACAAGACAAGAAAAAGAAUGGGACGACCGUGAUUUGCAUUUCUAUAUUCUCUUGCAGCUUUUCUCUCUCUCUCUCUCUCUCUUACACAGUACGUACUAAUAACACAAACACACACACUCACACACAUUCAUACACACACAUACGUAUACACUGAAAACUGUGGCCCCCAUACUUGAACAGAACCCCCAGCUUGCUUGUCGCACCACCAUCACCUCCAUCCAUUCAUUCACCAACAAUUCACCUUUUUCUUCGCUUUUUCUCUGCCGUUUCUACUGUUUCUUUCUAUGCUUGCAUAUCAAGUGUAAUCACCUUGCAUUUUUUAAUUCCUAAUAUAUAUAAAUGAGUGUUUGAAAGUCAGAUAUGAUUCUUCUUCCAGUGAGCUUGGCUCACUACGCAAACACACAGUCCUGAACACACAUGUUCUUUCCUUUUCCCCUCUGCAUCUUUUUCACGAAUUUGGGUUUUCUAUCCUAUACAUAUGUCCGCAAGCAAACCAGAAAAAACACUCCUCAGAAGUUAAGAAUCAUCAUGCACAUCACUCCCAUCUCAUCUCGUCUCGUCAUUGCACACCCAUCAUUAGGACCACUUCUUUUAUUUUAUGUCUCUAAUUCACAGAAACAAAGACUAAUCUAAUCAUCUUAAUCUUUUGCUUUCACCCACCAUCUACUCUUAAUCUCGCAUCACCUCAGGCUAACAAAAAAUAUACACUUGAUUCUUCCAUUAACUCCAACAAGGCUAAGCAUCGUCAUUCUAUUUUAUAAGGAUUUCAGUUCAGAUUGCCAAUGUAAAGACUUUGUUAAUAGUGAUUUCAAAACCACUUUUAUAUCAAGUAUGUUUUAACCCUAAUUAAUAAACACUAAAACAACAUUGCUUUAUAAUUCUAUCUUUUAACUAAGUAAUCUAUUAUCUAAAUUUCAACAAUGUUAUUUUAAGUAUGGAAAAAAUCCUGAAAAUAUAAUAUAUAAGUUUGUGCACUGAUGGCCCUUAAUUGCAUUAAAAAACUGCAAACAUCAUUAAAUGAACCACUAAAUUCUAAUACUAUCAGGCUAAAUUUUUCUAGUAAAAAGAGUUGGUUCUAUUAACUAUUCUCUCCUAAGUUCAAAUUCUAAUGUAUGCAAUUUAUCAUAAUUUUUAGAAUUUAUUACAUAAAUAUCCCUUCAGAUUUACCUUAAUUACACAUGCAUCCUUUUAUUUUCAGAAACAUACCAAUGACACUCCUCCCCUGACGAAGUUAAUGGUAUAACGAUCUUAAAAUUAAAAUUAAAUAUAUUUUGAGUUCAUUAUUGUGAAAGUCCUAAAUUGUUCUUCAAUUAAGUUAGAUAGAAAGUUGUGGAUCCCUCAUUUUGUAAAGUCUCUAGUUUGGAUUUUGAUUUUUCUCUCUCAACUUCAUUUACCUUUGAAUGUUUCUCAUGGAUUUAAGUCUGCAAUUUUACACAGAUUUGGGUUUGAACACCUAGUGUUCAUUAUAUACAAAAAAAAAUUAAAAUGUUGAUAAAAAGAAAACACCGAUUAAUAAGGGAAUUGAUGUUUGUGUUUUUCGUUUUCUAUUCUUUUGUAUAUAAGAGUUGAAACAUAACUAAAAUGUUUAAUUUAAUUUAAUUUAUUCUUGUUUGAUAAAAAAAAUAACUGAUUUAUUAGUUUAUUUAAGAAUUGAUGUAGUAGGACAAAUUAUAUUGGUUUCUUAGGUGUAGUAUAUGUGUUUUUAGGUUAGUUUACAACUAUAUGUUCUCUUCAGUUUCCUUCUUUGUGUUGUAUUUUUUUGUCAUCCUUUAUAAAUUCUUUUUUUUUUACACUUCAAGUCUUUAUAAAAAAAUGUACAUUAAUAUAUUUAGGUAUUACAUAUGUUUAUAAAACUGUGAUUUUUUAUGUUAGAAAUAUAUAUUACAUAGAAAUGUAUAUAUUGUAAAAUAGACUAUACAAAUAUAUAUUUAUUUGUUGAUACAAACUAUUUGUUUCUGUAUCUAGAUAAUAAUAAAUAUAUUUUUUCAGUUGACUUAGAGAUUUGCUUAUUGUAAUUGAAAGAUACUCUUUUUUUCUGAUUUUUUGGGAUUAUGCAAAAAAAAAUUAUAAUCUGAAUAAAGAUUGUAACUAGUACCUGUGCAACACACAAACUUUUACAAAAGUCUUAAUUUUAAAUUAUAAUAUUAUAAAAAUAUAAUUUUUUGGAUAUUAUAUUAAAUCUGGUAUUACAAAAUACAAAUAUAAGUCCUUCAAUUAUUAAGAAUAUAAGAUAGUUAGAAGAAAUAAAAAUUUUAUGUAAAAAGGAUAAUUGAAAUUAAUAAAUAUGAAAUUGACAAAAUUUUAAAAAAUGAGAUGAGACAUGGUAAAUAUUAAUAUUUUUGGGUUAAUUAUCUUAUUUUUAAUGUCAAUCACGUGAAAAUACGAAGUCAACACAAUCUUAAUAAGACAUCAAGUUACAACAGACAAAAUAUAAACUUAUAUGAGAGAAUGAAAAUGAGAUAACGUAUGUUUGUUUGAGUUAGGAGUGAUAAUACGGGUUAGUCGCAUUGGUCUAUCUCGCAUUUAACCCACAAAAUAUGGAUCGGGUUGAUCCAUUUCACAAAAGUGACACAAACUGAAUUUGUUGGUCUAUACUGUAUAAGAAUUUUAUUUAUUUCAAUUUUUUAUUACAUAGUACAUUAAACAAUUUAAUAUUUAUACUUAUUUAAGAUUUUGAAUAAUUUAGAAAUUUUAUGUAUUUUAACUUUUUAUUGAAAUAGUUCAUUAAAUAAUUUAGAAUUUUUCUUUAGAGUUGAUGGUUGAAGUAUUUUGAAAUGUUUAAUAUUUAUUUAUUAAUUACUAAUAAAAAAAAUAUUUAUUUGUUGCCUUCUUUUAAAGUGGUACAAUAUUAGAAUAAAGUGUUCAUUUUCUUAAAUGGCUUGAUUUUUUAAAGAAAAGUGGACAUACAAGAACAAAUUUCUUAAAGCCUUACUAGAGUAAAUUGCUCUAAGAUUUUCCAAAAGAAACUUAUUUGACAAUACCGUAAUACAAAAAGGAGAGGUAGCAACAAUUAAUGCGCAGAUAACGACCAUAUUCUGCAAGAGAUUUUAAUAAACUAAAGACAAUAAAAAUUAUGAAAUAUGACAAAAUCAGCCUCGUGUCCUUCUUUCAUAAUUCGAUCUACAUGUUUUGUACCAUUCACUAUUAUGGUAGGCAUUAUAGAUAUAAACAUGAGACAUAUGUUGGAAAUCCUAAAUAUACUAUGAAUAAAACCAAGCCAAAUUGUAAUAUAUUUAAAAACAUAUUUAAAAACUACAGGUCUUAAUAUUAAAAAAAAUAAACAAGAGUUUAAUAUAUGAUUAUUCAUUUGUAAUAAAGAUAUAUAUUUUUUUUUUAAGAAGUGAAGUUUAAAUAUAACUCAAUCUUAUAAAAAUUAGUUUGUAAGUUGAAAUUUGUAGUUAUUUAUAUUUUAUAAAUUAAUUUUAUCUUAUCUCUAUUUAAUAUGAGAUUUUCACAUCAUUCUCACAUUGAAACUGUUAACUCAUUCAUGAGACUAGAUAUUUAUGAGUAGUCCAGUAUUUAGUAGUGAAUAAUACCAUAUAUUUAAUAAACUCUCGUUAUAAUAAACUUUAAAUAAAUCUAAUAUAAAUUUAGAAGUGAAUUUUAAACAUAAUUUAACUUAUGUUGAAUUGUGUAAAAUAAAAUUUACACUAAUUUAUAUAGUAUAAAUUGUUCUUAUCUCUCCAACAACUUUAUUUUAUUUCUUUUUCUUUUUUAGAGAUACUUUUAUUAGGUAUUAUUAUUUGAUUCCAUCUCACAUGUCUAUUUUUGUGUGAUAUUAUUGUAAAAAAUGUAUAAAAUUGAUUUCAUGUGUUGUUUUAUUUUGAAGAAAUUGUAAAGAAAAGAAUGGUGCUAUAUUUGGGGUGACAGGGUGAAAUGGUUGCUCCACUUGCAUCCAGCUUGCACCAAAAUGGAAGAUACCCAGUGACUCUUCACCUGUUCUUGCGUGUCCUCACCCAUCCCUCAAUGCAUCAUGACCACCAUGUGUCAAUUUAUGACAAUCGCAUCAUCAUGUCCCUAAAUUCUUAAAUAUAUGCUUAUCUAGAUUCCAUUUCCUUUUAUUUUUUCCCCACAUUUUCUUAUAUUUCUACCAAUAUACCAUGCUGACAUCCUUUUGAUUUUCCAUAAAUAACGAAUUACAAAAAAUAGGAACACUAAAACUAUAAUUAAAUCUUAUAUUUAUGACUCAAUUUUGGUUUAGGUUUUGAAUUAAGUGAAAAAAAAUGUACCAAAUAGAUUAGUUUUUAGACUGUGUUGGCCGAAUUCAAACCCAAUCAACAAACAUUCGGUUGAUUGAAUUUAAUUUAAUUCAUUGAGCUUAAAAACACUAUUGUUUCUGACAUUUUUUUAAUUUCUAUUGGUAUGCUAUUUUUCAUUCUAGUCCUUUUUUCUAUUGGUAUUCCAAUUUAAUUCAAUUUAAUAUUCUUUGUUAAAGUGGAGUAGAAAAGCAAUAAGAAAAAAAAGGUUAAAAGGUCAAAACAAAAAGCAAAUAUCGUGUCCCUUAAGACAUCAGUAUAUAUAUAUAUAUAUAUAUAUAUAUAUAUAUAUAUAUAUAUAUAUAUUAACUCAGUGAGAUUGCAGUCCACUAUUUCACCAUGUUAUUCUUAAUUAAAUCUAUUUACUUAAAUUUUACUCAAUUAUUUUAAUCUUAGUCUUUAGUUCAAAUUUAGGAGAAACUGAAGUUUGUUUAGUAGUAUUAGUAUUUUCUAAACUAGUUAUUACUUUAUGAUUAAAUUACACUUCUAAUCUUGUAAUUUUGGACCACUCUCUUUUUAAUACAAUUUUUAAAACUUAUAACCGGGAAUGGCUUAAAACCUAAAAUUUAAUUUGUUUAAGAUUUGGCCUAUAACAUUUCUAAGGUUCUUUAAGUAAUCAGUUUAUGGUUGGGUAUCUCUCAAAUGCCAUCAGUUUAUGUUUGUAUUUUUUAUUUGUAAACUAAAUCACUAUCUUCACCACCAUUGCAAUAAAAUCAUUACAACAAUUAAUUUAAAAAGAUAAUAAUAAUUAAGUUUAAUACUUUCUAUAAAUUAAAAAAGUUAAUGUUAUUUAAAAUAAUUUUUAUUAUAAAUACAAAUUAAUAAAAUAAUUUAUAAAUUUAUAUAUGAAAUUAUUUAUAAAUAUUUUAAUUAUUAAUUACUUUAGAUUCUAAAUUAGUCUUGUGAUUAAUUUAAAAAUUAAAAUACUUAGUAACUAAAAUCUUGUUAAUUAAUAUUAGAUAACAAUUUAAAAAUUAUUUUAUAAAAUUUUAUUAAUGAUAUAAACUAUUUUAGAUACUAAUAAUUUUUUAAUUUUAAAAAAUAAUAUUUAAUUUAAUAAAUAAUAUUUAAUUAAGAAAUAUUAAUUAUUUUUUGUUUUUAAAAUGUAGUGAAAUUAGAUCUGUGUUUUUUCAUUAGAAGUCUAACUUUUUUAUAUGGUAAAAAACUAAUAAAUUCUAUCAUUAUUAAUGGUGAAAAAUCUAUUUUGUCGGAUAAUAAAAAUGAAGGGAUAUACUUUUUAAUAAAAAAAUAACGGAAACAAAUUAUUUAAAUCAAAACUCUAUUUUAUAUUUAUAAAACUAAUGUGAUCAUUAAAAAUUAAAAUGAAAUAGAAAACAGUUUUUUUAGUUUAACAUAGUAUGUCACAAAUUUAAUUUUAAUUUAAAUAUCAAUGGGAAUUAAUCAAAUUUAAGAUAUAAUAUUUGAAAUGUAUGAAAAAUAUAAUUAAAAAUUAAAUGAAAUACUCUAACUCACUUAAUCUGCCUACUUAAUCCAUUAAUAUUGUCAUACAUGUUCAAAUCAAUUUAUAGUUUUAUAAAUUUAGAAAAGAUAAAUUUAUAUACAUAAUACAAAAAAUAAGUAAUAGAAAAUUAUUAGAUAGAAAUCAAUUUUGGAGACUAAAAAUAAUUAUUUAUUAUAUUGACUAAAUUAUAUACUAUUUUAGAGAAAAAAAAUUAUUUGUUUCUAAAUUACUUUCUAUUAUUGAUAAAUAGUUUCUAAAUCGGUAUCAAAUUAGCUACCAAUAUUUUAACUACCACAAGUUUUAAUUACCAAUUAUUUAAAUUCUAAACUUUGUAGCAAAAAAAUUUGUGACUAAUUAGAUAUCAAUUUAAAAACUAUUUAUUAAUAAUAGAAACUAAUUUAGAAAUUAAUAACUUUUUAGUCUCUAAAAUAAUAUCUAAUUUAGACAAUAUAUCAAUUAAUUAUUUUUUAUCUAUAAAAUUAGUUUUUAUUUAAAAGAUUUACUAGUAGUGAUGGAAAUGAGUUGAAAAUUUUAAUAUGUGUAUAUAUAAUUUUAGGUGAUCUUUAACAAUUUAACUUGUGAAUCCAUUUAAAAAAAAAAAAAAACUUGUGAAUCCAUUUCUAAAAGUGAUGAGUUACAUUUUUCAUCCUAUAUUUACAUGCUGUUAACCUAAUCCUGCUUGACACGAAUUUAGAGCAUGUUAACUCUAAUCGAUUUUCUUUGUAUUUGAUAAUUUAUUUAUAUAUUUGACUAAAAUAUAUUCCAAUCAAAAUUUCGAGAAUGAAUAAAAAAUUAUUCUUUUAAUUAAUUUCUUAAUGUGAUUAUUUUAAAUUGAUUCCUUUAAAAUUUUUGAAAAAAAGCUAACAAUAUUAGGACUUAGUUGAAUGUAUUUUAUUUUUUAGACUAUUUUGUCAAACAAUUUUACACUACAUCUUUGAAAAGAAAAGAAAAAUUGCUUGACUAAAAAUAGACUUUUAUUUUUGUUCAACUAACUCGUACCACUACCCCACUUCAUAAAAUAAUUGCAUAUAAUUAUUUUAAAACCAUGUGAUUAUUUACCCAACUCAUCCCCAGACACGAAGAGAAAUAACCGGGAAAAAGUGUAAAAGGGAUUUAUUUGUGGUAACUGCCACUUUCAAAUGUUAUUAGAUUCUGAAAACGAUUUCAGAAAAUCAAAUAAAAUAAAUAAAUAAAAGCUAACACCACCAAAUGCAAUAAACCAAGAGAUUUUUUUUUUUAAGUAUUAUUAAUAUAGUCCCACAUCAAUUAAGAAUUGAAGUAAAAAACAAUUUAUAUAUACUUUUUACUCAUGUCAAAUACCUUUUAAAAACAUGAACAAAAUUUUCAUAGGUCUUAUUAGAAAAAAAAGAGACACACGUAUAUAUUUUGAAUGGUGUAAUGUUUGAUGUAUUAUAUAGGAAUAUUGAAGUAAUGGGCCCUGAAAUGAUAGCAAGUUUAGACAUAGAAUAGGGAGGCUAAAACUGGAGACAUAUAUAAUAUAAUGGCCUACAAAGUUAAGGUUGAUAGAGCACACCGACAUCACUCACCACGAACUUGUUACAAAUUUCGUAGGGAAGCAAAGUACCGAAUCAUUUGGAGGAAGAAGUUUGAGAAGAAAAGCAAUGAUUUAAUGGAACAGUGGAAUUGCAUACUUUUGGGUAUCACAAUGCCAAAAUAAACUGGUUUAAAUGGUUGUGCCCACUGUUCUGUACGAUAAAACACUAUCACACUGUUCCACUUCAAAUCAGAUACUAUCCCAUACAUGCUACAGAGCUACACUUAUAUUUCCUUCGUUACUUGGGAAUUUAAUUUACAGUCAACGGAGGAUGAUUUUGAGUUGAAGUUAUGAAGAGCAUGCAAAAAGGAAUAGUACUAUUCUGGACAACAAGUAGUAGGGGUGCUAAAAUAAUUUUUACACCAUUAACUUAAACCCAUUCCAAAGCAACGUCAGAGGUAAUGAUUCAUAGACCCAUUUCAUGAAUUGAGUUUGUUUUUAUCCACUAAUAUUGUUGAAUAGUAAGUAGGAGGUGAAGCUAAAUUUUGUUUGAAUUAUGUUUUUGGGCAGUUGAGAAUGAGCUUAAAUGGUUACUUUGCAUGCUUUUCCUAAAAUAAUUGCUUUGCUUUGGUUCCACUUUUUGCUUGCAGCUUUAAUUUCACCUAAAGAUGGAACUGUAAUAAAGCGUAAUCUUACGAAAUGACAUUCCCGCGUGCAAAUCAAAUAUAUAAGUGGGUCAUCUACACUUGCUUUAUGCACAGUUAACUUGAUUCCUAGAUUAAGACAUUCACUGUUUAUACUUAUAUCACAUUUCAUAACUCCCAUUCAAAAAGUAAACAACAUCAUUUACACAGCACUUCAUUCACUUAAACCAUAAAUUCUUUUAAGACAUUACUCACUAUCAACUUUCCUUUCAUGCUUUACAUCUGUUAUAAACUACAUGUUAGAAAUUUCAUGUUUCUCAUCUCUUAAUCUUUUAUAUAGAUUUUAUAGCAUCAUGAGUUCGAUAAUACAUAUAAUUAGGUCAUCUACCUAUAUUCAUAUCAGACAAUAAUGUAUUAGCACAAAUCAAAAGAUCUUGAGUAAAUGGUAAUAUCAAAACCCAAAACAAAAGAAAUAUGAUGAAUGUAUAUAUAUAACAGAGAAUACACUAAAGAAAAAACACAUCACUUACUAAUCGAGAUUGAGAGUCCAUUCACUCUUAACAACACUAAAUAUUUUAGGUUUGAGAUCGCCGAUACUCUUAUCUGAAACAGUUUUAUUUAUAAUUUUUAAAUAGCCUUCGAGAAGUAUGAUUUAACUUAAUUAUUGACUUUAACGAAGGUGUCUCCAUUGUGGUGAAUCCUAUACACUUUUCUUCUUUCAUUUCUGCCUUUAGUAUGAUAAGAAAAUGAGUUUGGGGUUGAAUUAAAAAUGGAAGAAAGCAUGGAUUACGGGCCUGUGAAUUAAUCUAAGGCCAUAGUAGAUUGUGGUCCACCUGAGGUAUAGGCCAGGACCCAAUUUCUUGAGAUAAUAAAUUUGUAUUAAGCUUGAAAGACACAUCACCACCAAGCCCUAAACACCGGCCUAUAGAUACAUGUGUUUUUUCCACUGAGAGAGAGAAGCACUUCAAUUUUCAAACACCACCAACAUUUAUUUAGGUAAGAAAAUUGAUUAGAGGAUUAAACCGGGCGUGUAGGAGGGGAAACAAAGGAAAAAGAAACAAGUAAUGAUUAGUGAGUGCCCCACUAGGGAAAUUUUGAAGGAUUCACUCUUAAUUAAACGUCUUUUUCACAUUGAGAACUAAUUAUAUUUAUACAUAGUUGUAGAAAAUUAAGAAAAAUAUUGUUUUACUUUCAACUUUGCCUCUCUGUUCUCCAUUAUUUACAUGUGAGAAGAAGAUAGCUGUAUACCAUUGGAAUUUGGACGAGGAAAGACUUGAAUGAAUGUAUAAAUUCUUGUACUAAUUGGAAUCGAACAAAUUAUGGUUAGUAUUUGAUGAGUCAUGUUAAUUGAUUUUAGUAAUCGAUCGACUGAAUGAAUCUUCAUUCAAAGUAGUUACGAUAAACAGUUUAAGACAGUUGUAAGAAUUUUUUAAGAAUUUAGAAUACAUUCUACCAAAUUCAGAUAACACUCCUGUAAAUCAAGAACUUUUCUAAAAAAUGAGCUAAUGCUAAAAUAUGAUAAAUUUGACUCAUUACAACAAACUACAAAUGUGUAAGGUACGAUUUUAAUACCUUCUUAAUUUAUAUUUCGUAUACUAAGUACUUACUUGAUUGUUUGAAUAUUUUUUUCAGAUCAAUAUACAAGACUUAGAAUAAAAAAUAAGAAAACAACCUAACAACCAACUCGUUAACAAUUCAACAACCAAUUUCAGAUAUUAUUUAAAUUUAUUUUAUCUAUACAAUUCUUAAUAGCUAUAUCUAACUUUUUUUUUUUUUUGGAUCUCUUGACCUUGAUCAACAAGUUUUACAACCUUUGGAAUCAUCGAGACCUAGAUUGAAAACAAAAACAAUGAAUAGGACGAUGAAGAUUAUGUCAUCUCCUUCGAAAUACCAAAAACAUUUUCUGAGACUAUAGCGUUCGAGUGAGUGUAGUUUAUUUGGAAUAAUUUUUCUUAAAAUUGGGUUAGACAAGUCAAUUUGAAAUUGAACUAUAACUUUUCUAGCUCAAUUUAUCCCUUACCAGAUUAAGGGUCAAAAAAACCCUGCAUAUGGAUCAAUAAUAUUUUUACAGCCUACACAGAAUGGAUCCAUCAUUUCUUACACUAUAAAAAAUAAAUAUUAUUAAUAUAAAUUACCUUUUAUAUGAUAAGAUAAUAAAAUAAUUUCACUUAAUUAAGUUUUAAGUUAUUAUAAAUUUAGACAUCUUUAAUUAAUUUUUAAUUACAAAUUUUCGUUCUAUUGAAUAUUAAAAGUAUUUUUUUGUUUUUAUUUAAAUAUUUUUUCAUUUAAUUAUGUUGCCAACUAGAUAAUAUAACGGUUACUUCCGUCUUCUCGUUUCUAAAAAUAAAUAAGUGAUUGCGUGACGACAAAAAUUAAGAAAUAAGAUACUUAGACAAAAAAUGAAAAAAAUAUUUUAAACACUUAAUUAAUAUAUAUAUAUAUAUAUUAAAUUAAAAUACUUAAAUUUAUAAGAUACUGAAAAUUUAAUUAAAUAUAUAUUUUUAAUGUUGUGCAGAGGUGUCUAUUCUUUUAUUUUUUUUUCAAUAAUAAUAUAAAUAAUCGCCAAAAUAUUUAUCAGACAUUAAAUAAUGAUUAAUGUAUUAAUGGUGGUACUUGUAUAUAGUAAAAGAUCUAUUUUAUUAGUGAGAACUUAAAUCAUCUUUAAAAUUAUUUUUUCAAUUCUGCUUUAAUCUUUCAAUAACUUUUACCUAUUAUCGCUAAAAAAAUUUAAAAAAUGAAAAGAUUUAACAAAAGAUUAAAUAUUAUCUUAUGAAAUAAAUUUUAUAAAAUUUAGUUAAAUUUAAUUUUUUUAAUAUGAUAUAAAGUUAUUAUAUAGUAGUGUUUGCUGGAAGUUGAAACUUGUGUCAUCCAUUACUAAAUUCUCCUAAUUUAAUGUGAGAUGUCCAAUACUAAAUGUAAAAGUGUAUUGAUCUAUUAUAUUUAUUUUAUAGAAUAACUCCAAUAAAUUGAUUGAACCUCAAAAUAUUAUGUACAACUAUUUAUUUAUUUCUCAUAAUAUUUAAUAUUAAUGAAUAACUCAAUACCCAUUGUGACACCAUCCUAUGAAUCGUGUGAAUGAAACCCAGCAGAGUUUCAAGAUUAUUGCCAUCUGCAACAAAGAAGAAACAAAUCAAAUCUCAAAAUUCAAUGAAAUUGUACGCUUAACCAAUACUAAUUAAAUGGUAACAAUGAACAAAAUUACUAAUUAAAGUAUGAGAUACCACUAAUCAAGUUUUGAAUUCGUAUGAACUUCACGGUGGUAAAUCACUACAUGAUCCUGAAAUGCUUCCAACAAUGAAACUUUGAUGAAGAUCGAGUGAUGAUUUAUUUAUAUGAGAUUUUCUAAAUCUCAAAUAAGAGUUUAAAGAGAUAUGAGAGGGAUUAAAUGAGUACAAAUGUAUUGAGUUGAAUUGAGUAAUUUCUGAAAUUAUAUUUAUAAGUUUUUGGUGUUGUUAAAAUAUAAAAUAUUUAAUUAAUUUAUAUAUGUUGUCGAAUAUCAAGUCAAUUUCAACAUAGAAGUUAGUUUUUAAAGGUGUCCUAUUUAUUCAGACAUGGAGGUACUUAAUGUCUAUUAUUGCAAGUGAAUAUUAUAUUCUUAGUAUUUUUUUAUACUGGAUAUCUCUAAUAUGGAUAUUAUAUUCUUAUUAUUUUUUAAUUUUGGAUAGUACACAUAUUUUACUUUAAUAAAAAAUAUCAUAACAUCUAAGUUAAAAUAACUCCACAAAAUUUAACAAAAUCAUAUAUCGAUAAAUGAAAAAAUGUAUAAAAAAAAUAAAAAAAUAUGAGAGAAACCAAACUCAUAUAAAAGAAACAAACAAUAAUCCAAAAUAAAAGACUAUACAAAUUUAAAGUCUAAGCUCGUGUUUGGAUUGGGGGGUGGCACUGUAGUCACAGACGAAAGUGGGGUGUCACCCCGUUUGGAUCUGUUGAUGGUGGAGGGUGUGGGUGAGGGUGAGGGGAAAGUUGGGCCGAAUGAGAGAGCAUUCAGAAGUGAAGAGAAAGGAGAGGGAGAGGGAGUGAGUGUCAAGUAGGAUGAGUGCAAUGUCAUUUGUGCCUUCACUAGAUUUUUUGACGUAUUUGGACAUUGGACAUGAAGCAUGCAUGCGCAUAACACUGUGAAGAGAAGCUUUUCAGCAAGCACAGGAGAUUCCUGACCAUUGUUCAGGAUUCUCUUUGACCAACUUCAAAGCUCAAUGAAUGCAUAGCCAAGUUGGUGAGAGAGUGGAUGAGCGUAAUAAAGAGGUGCAGCAGUAUAUAUGUGGUUCCCAACCUCACAAACCUCACACAGUUGAGGCAAUUCAGUUCUUCACAAAGCACAUACCUAGAGAGCUUGGAGAUGGUCAUGAGUAAGCAUAGUGAUAGGAGAUUGCACUUGGUUCUUUGUUUGUGACCUCAGGUGAGCUGUGUGUGAGUUUAUUUUCAUUAUUAACUGAUUAUCACUGAAAAUGAACGUAUGCCAUAAUCGAUUAUGUGAAAAAAAAAGAGUUGAUAAUUGAUGAAUAUAUAUUUAUUCACACACAAUAGCCUUAAUCAUAGAUUAUUGGACUAUAAUAAUAAAUAAAUUCAUUGUUUUAAUUAAUAUUCAUAUAAUUGGUAAUUAAUAUUAUCUUUGGUAAUUUUGUGUUUUUAGGGUAAAUUAUCUGAAGCAUCUACCUUUGUGAAUGAGCCAAACAUGCAAAAGUCCAAGUUGCUUAUUUGAAUAAAAACAAAAAAACAAAUUCUGAGGAGAAGAAAGAGAAAAUAAAAGCUACAAGAUUCCAGAAACAGAAUUGGAAGCAAAUCUUCUGUAAAAUAAAAAGAAUUAUGGAAAGUGGAAACUGUUUAGAAAAUCUUAAGUGCAAUAUUUUCCCAAGAUCCUUGGAGCAGAAAAGUCUAUAAAAGGACACAAGCAUGAAGGAGAAAGGGAGAGAGCUUCAUAGGGUUUUCUUAGUUUCUUUUCUUCUUUGUAAUUCUUUUGUUUUGCCUCCGCAUGGAAGGUUAAACCUUUUUGGUUGAUUCUUUUGUAAUUCCCCAUUAAGUUCUGAGGUUUUUAUUCAAUAAAAGUUUCAUUUUUCAAUUUUUUAUAACAAUUGUUUUUAUUGUCUAAUCUUCUGGAAAACUAGUUUUUGUGAGAGGUUGUACUUGAACGCAUGAUUGAGAGUCUUCCUUAUCUUAAACUUUGGUUUCUUAGUUAGUUCUCAUUGUUCUAAUUAAUUUCUUGGCGCAUGAUUCAAGAGAGAGGAUAUAAGCAUUCCUAUGGAGUAUACGCAUGGAACAAAAUGUCUAUUGAUUAAACCAGUAGACGCAUGCUUUACUGGUGAGUUUCAGUUGAAUCAGAUCGGCGCAUGUUCAAUCUGGUUUAGCUCUGUUGGAGGAUUGAAAAAAUAUUAAUCUUUAGAGAACCUGUGAAGAAUUCAAUGGUGGAAGAACUUGGGAUCAACCACUUUUUUAUUUUCUAUUUCAAUCUUUUUUAUAUUUUUCUUGUAGAUAGAUUUUGAAUUCGGUUAACUGAAUCACUAUUGGAUUCGUUGGGAGACAACUUAGGGUCAUCUCUCUGGUGUUAGACAACUCUACGCUAGAUUCAUAUUAAUUUGACAGCAAAACGACAACUAUAAAUAAUCGAGCAUAAACAUUUGGAUAAUCGAUUAUGAUUUUAAUUUCCCAGAUUUUUUAUUUUCUGUUUUUUGAAGUAAUUUUUGCAUGAUUUUUUUGGAUUGUGUUUUUUUUUUAAAUUGUGUUUGGAUGUUUAGUUUUAUUUUGAAUUUAAUUUGUUUAAAUUAUUUUAAAGUACUUGUUAAUUAGUUUUUGUUAAUUAGUUUUUAAUUUUAGAUGUGAAUGUUUAGGAAAAUUGAUUAUCUAAGAUUUAUAUUGUUAAUGUAAAAAUUUCAUGAAAUUUAAAUAUAGAAUUUUUGUAACAUGAAUUGAAUUGAAUUUAUAGAUUGAAAUUAGAGAUCUAAAUCUGUUAUUUUAAAAUAUUGUUAUUAAAAAAAUUAUAAAAAUUGUUACAGUAAUUUAAAACAGAAAAAUCAAAUAUACAGAAGAUUUUUUUAACAUUGUUAAAUAAAUUUAUGAAUGUAUACAUAGUAAUUUUUUUUUUAACUUUGAAGCUGUUAAUAAAAUAAUUUUUUUGAUUUAAACUUACAGAAUAGACUAUUUUUUAGAAAUUAUUAUUUUUACAGAAUGUAAAUAUAAUUUUUAAAACAAAUAUUGUAUUAAUUAAAAAAACAGAAAAAGAUUACAUAAUAAAUUAGAAUUUUUAAUAAUAUGUGUACAUAGUUACUAUUUUUUGAACAUUUAAUUCUUUAUAAAAAAAUAUAUUUAUUUAUUUGAAAUGAUUAUUUUUACUUAAUGGAAAUAAAAAUUUUGAAUGCUAUAUUUUAUAAUUUUGGACAUUUUACAUACACAUAUCAUAAAAUACAUAUAAUUUAUUUGUCAUAGUUUACAUAAAUUGUUAAUGUUAUUAUAAAAAAAUUAAAAUAAAUAUUGUAGUAAUUAAAAAGAACAGAAAAAGAUUACAUAAUAAAUUCAAUUUUUUAAUAAUAUAUGCAGAUAUUUAAUAUUUUUUAACAUUUAAUACUUUAUAAAAAAACAUUUAUUUAUUUGAAAUUAUUAUUUUUACAGAAUGUAAAUAUAAAUUUUUAAUGUUAUUUUUUAAAACAAAUAUUGUAUUAAUUAAAAAACAGAAAAAGAUUACAUAAUAAAUUAGAAUUUUUAAUAAUAUGUGUACAUAGUUAUUAUUUUUUGAACAUUUAAUUCUUUAUAAAGAAAUAUAUUUAUUUAUUUGAAAUGAUUAUUUUUACAUAAUGUAAAUAGAAAUUUUGAAUGCUAUAUUUUAUAUUUUUUUUGAUAUUUUACAUACAUUGUCAUAGUUUACAUAAAUGGUUAAUGUUAUUAUGAAAAAAUUAAAACAAAUAUUGUAGUAAUUAAAAAGAACAGAAAAAGAUUACAGAUUUUUUAAUAAAUUCGAUUUUUUAAUAAUAUGCGUAGAUAGUUAAUAUUUUUUUAACAUUUAAUGCUUCAUAAAAAAACAUUUAUUUUAUAAUUCAUUUUAAUUUUAUAUUAAUUUUUAAGUUAUAAUUGAAACUUACAAUUAUUUUAAUUAUCAAAAUUAUGUACAAAAUUAAUAAUUUUUUUUAUACAUAUGGAUAAAAGUAUACUUUAUUAUAUAUAACAUAAAGUAAUUGAAAUUAAAUAAUAUAAUAUUAAUUAUUUUAAUUAAUUUAAAUAUUCUUUAAACUAAUUAAUAUUUCAUUUUUCCCAUUUAUAUAUAUAGAAGAAUAAAUUUAUAAUCUUACCAUUUACACUAUUCAAAAUAUAUUAAAAUACUUUCACAACUAUCACAUCAUUCACACUUUUCAAUAAACUUUCUUUACACAUCCACUCUAACAUCCCUCAAUCCAAACAUCCUCAACUUUCAACUUUCUCCACACUUUUUUCAUAUUUUCACUCCCACACCCUCAACUUUCCACUCACGAGUUGAUAAGUGUUACAACAAAAUAUAAACUAAUGUAAAACACUAAACCAAAUAAAUAUAUUUUCAAUCCUAAUAUUCACAAUGUUAUGACCUUCACUUUUAUAUAUAUAUAUACUACAAGAAAAUCAUCAAAUAGAAACUAAUUUUUAGAGAUCAAAAUAAUUAGUUGAAAUAGUAACUAAAUUGGAGACCAUUUUAAAAACUAAAAAAAAUUGAUUUCUAAAUUAGUAACUAAUUAUUUUUUGUCUCUAAAAUUGGUUUUUAUUUCAUAAUUUUUUUAUAGUAAUAUAUAUAUAUAUAUAUAUAUAUAUAUAUAUAAUCACAAAUUUAUUUGAGUCAUCUAUCUUAAAGAACUUAAUAAAAAGUUUGAGGACUCAAAAAAUUUAACAAAUAAAAAGUAGAAUCACACUUCUACCCAAUACAAGAAAAUUAUUAAUUAAAAACUAGUUUAAGAUAAAAAAAUAAUUAGUGAUUAUAUUACUAAAAUAAAUAUUAUUUUAUAGACUAAAAAAUUAUUGAUAUCUAAAGUAGUUUUUAUUAUUAUAAAAAAUUAUAAAUUAAUUUUUAAAUUGGUAUCUAAUUAUUUAAUUAAUUUAAUUAGCUAACAUUUUUAGAACCUAAAAUAGUUGAUAACUAAUUAGAUACCAAUUUUAGAAUUUAAAGUAAUUGAUAGCUAAUUAGAUACUAAUUUAAAAUCUAGUUUAUAAAUUUUUAUUAAUAAUAAAAACUACUUUAAAUAUUAAUAAUAUUUUAAUCUAUAAAAUAAUAUUUAAUUUAAUCAAUAUAUAAUUAAUUAUUUUUAAUUAUAAAAUUAUUUUAUUUAAUAAUUAUACUGUAUUGACCAUAUACAUGUAAAUCUAAAGUGAAUAAAUAGAAUAGUAACUACAAACUCUGCAUAUGAAGAUUUAUUAAUAUUAAAAUAAAAAGUGGAACUUUUAAUAUAUUCUUCAUUGUUUCCUCUAAAAGUCACUAUAAUAUAAUCAAGACAAUCUCUAACAUUACCAUCACUAUUGACAAAUAAAUUAACUUAUUAGUAAUUAGUUCGUCAAUUUAAUAACUAUAUAUAGAAGAGAGAAAAGUAAAAUUUCAUUUAAGAGUGGAGUUGAUUGUAGAAAUUAAAUUACGUAUAAAGUUAAGGGAGGGAUAUCUAUUAUUUUUUAAUAUGAAUUGUAAUUUUAACUUGAGAUCUUCCUGUCUAGUUAAGUAAUUAAUAAGUAGAAAGCUUUAUUAAAAAAUAUAUUGAAGUUGUAUUAGAAAUUUUAGAAAAGUGGAUCCAAGUAAAUAACUUUCACUUUUAAAUUUUUUUACUAGGUAUUUUUCUGUAAUUUAUAUAUUUAAUCUCUUGCAAACGUAACAACUAUGAUUGAAUUGAAGUUUGAAAAACAUUUUUCUGAAUUUUAUGAUUAUAUGGUAAUGUCACAUUCGAGGAUUACAUAAAAUAACGUAACGUGCAACAUGAAACACGAUUGUUCUAACACAACUUUCAUCCAUUCAAUUUAUUUCUUAUAUAAAUAAUUUUAAAAUUAAAAUUAAUAAAAUUUCAUGGUUACCUAACAUUUGUCUAGUUUGUCUGAAAAAAAAUGUCCAACAAUAAAUUAAACUGGGCAAAAUAUAAUCUGUCCAUUGAAAUUCUUAAAAUAUUAAAUACAGAUUUUUGUAUUAUUUUGUCACUCUAAACUUUUGAACUUUAAAGAUAUAUAUUUUAGGUGUUUCAAAAAUUUAUACAUAUUGAUCUUUAAUGGUAAUAACACUAGAUGGAAAAAAAUUGUACAGAUGAUGGUCUUAAUAGUGUUGAUUAUUAUAUUUAAUAAAAAAAGUGUGAUAAAGUUGUCAUGUAUAUAAGUUUAUUUUUGUCGUUAGUACUAAUGAAAUCUAAAAGGUAUGUUUAAAUUUCAAAGGAAUCAAAAUAAUAUAAUUUUUUAUAAAAGUAUUUAGUGUAAUUAAAUUUUAAUAUCUCGAUUAGAGAUUAAGAUAUUUCAUUUUAUAGUAUAUAAGCGGGUGUAACUUCAUAAGCUGAUUUGGUUUAAACUUAAAGUUCACUUUUUAAUAUGAUAUAAGAUCCAUUUAAAGUCGAACUUAACUAGAGAUUUUGUUAGUCUUACCAAACCAUCUACUAUCGGAUCGUUAUUGGAUCAUAUAUAAAUAUAUAGUCUCAUACACAAACAGUCACUCUCCGCGUGAGAAAAUGUGUUAGAAAAUUCACAUAGAUUAAGUGCAAACAUUACCUUAUAAGUCGAUUUAAGUGCAAAAAUUACCUUGUAAGUCGAUUUUAUGAGUUAGAUUUGAAAUUAUUUUUCAAUAUUCAUAUAAAUUAUUUUUUUAAGAAUUAAUAUUAAACAAGCAGUAAAAAAAUAAUUAUUAUAAAAAUAUUAAAAAUAACCAUUUAUCUAAAAAUAUAUAAACUAAAAACACUCUUUUCGCAAGAAUAAAUAUGACAGACAAUGCCAUUAUUAGAAUUUAGAACACACAUGAAGGGGUUGGAGAAUAAUUUAUUAACGUCUGGAGCAGCAGCACCUAGAAGCAUUAAAUAUUCAUAAUUAUUUGUAGUAACAACUAUUUUUAAUUUUAUUGUUCUUUGAUUAUUAUUCCACUACAACAGAAUUGAUAACCGAUAACAGUUUUAAAACUUACUUAGCAACUGUUAAAACUAUGGUCAUAAAACUACAUAGUGAAUUUGUAGGCUAUGAUGAGUUUAUAUGUCUAUUUGUUGGUUGCGGCUCAACCCAACAUGUAAAUUCGUUUUUGAGCUAAACUCGAUUUGGUGAACUUGAUAUUAAGCACGUAAAAUAAAAUAAAAUAAAAAGCACCAUACUAUUAAAAUCACAAAUGAUAAUAGAAUGUUAAAAAAAAAUGUUAACUCUUAGUAAUUAACAAAUAGGUUGAGAAUCAUGUUGCCCCAACAGGAAGAAAAUGUUCUGUAGGAAGUGUAAGAGAAAAAAAAAAAUAAUGUAACAUGAAUACUUUUUUUGUGUUGUUAAAUUUAAAUGAAAAUCACAGGAACUUAUAUGUAAUCGAGAACUAUGUUUAAUCAAUUAUCUUUUUUAAACCUAUUAUUUGAUUACUUAUUUUUAAAAUUUAUCUCAAUUUAUUACAAGAAAAAUAUUAUAAUAAGUUAUUUAUAAAUAUUUUCAUCCAUAUAAUUUUGCACUUUAUAUGCAUAUAAAUGAUUUCAAGUUAACUAUUAAUAAUAAAUUAGUUGUAUUAUAAAUAAAAAACAUUAUAGUAUAUUUAUUUUCAAUUUAAUUUUUAUAAAUAAUUUAAUUCUUAUGUUUUUAAAAUAAAAUAGCUUUUUUUUUCAAAAAAAAAGGUUCUUAUACUGAUAAUCAUUUAAAUUAAAAUCUGUUUCUUGUUUGAUUCUUUUGAAAAUAUCAGUCAUGCCAAUGUGAUAAUAUCCAAAUUUUAUAUAAUUUUUCAGUUAUAUGUUUUUUUCUAGUUAUAAUUGUUUUGUAAGUUUUUUUUAUUUAUUUCAGAAACUAAUAAAAUUUAUUUUAAAUAAUAAAGAUUCUCACAUGAUAAAUAAAAACUUCAAAUAAAAUCUAAGGUCAUUGUUUAACAAAAUUUACAACCAGAGCAAAUCACAUUUCUUAUAUAAGGAAUGAAGUUAGUGUAAACAUUUCCAAAAAUGCUUAUGACCAGUUAAACAAAUUUUAAUUAUUUUUAAGAAAAUGAUUCCGAUAUUCAUGUUUUCCAAGAGUCUACAUAUGAGGUAGUGACAGAAUUGUCAUUCUACUACAUAUAAGCUCAUAAUGGACCUACUCUUUACAAAGCAGAAUUGAACAACUGCACAACAAAAAUAAAUCUUUUCCACUGCAUAGCAACUGCAAAACAUAUCAAUUGCAGAAUAAAUCAUAAUCAACUGCAUAACAAAAUAAAUCUUUCCAUAAUAUUGAAAUUUACUGUAUUUUUCACCUACUACUUCAAAUCUAAAAUCAUCAUCUACUGAAAUAUUUCAAAACAAGCUCCUGGAUUGUAAAACAACACCCACUAGUAAUCCACUGCCAAGAGUAGAGCUUAAAAUAUUUCAACCAUUUUCCACUUCCCUCCGAAUGUUGAAAACAUUUGAGAAUUUUGGGCCAACCCUAUUGACCACCAAACAAUAGAAAACUAUAUAACAUGCCACCUGAUUCUAUUAUCUGAAUCACAAUUAAGAAAUCCCAAACUUCUAUUGCUCCAUCAACUCAAGCACUAAACUCACCUGGAGAAGAAUUCACAUUCAAAAUACAAGUGAACUAGAGUUUUGACUUCCUUAUAAGGUACCUCUAGACAUGACUUCAAUGGUUGGAGUAAUACCUCUAUAUGCUUGUUCUUAAGGGAGAAAUCAAUCUUGAGCUAGCUUCCAAAUACAAGAUUGAACCUUGAGUAAGUGUCAUAGAACCUUAUCCAGCCUAAAUUUCGAUAAUAGAACCUUAUAUGCGAUUUAACCAAGUAAGUGUGUCUAUGUAAUAAAUAAAUCAUUUUCAUGAAAGUUGAAACUUUAUAAAAUGAACUCAAAUUUAAACCAUUCAUUGACGCUGGCUUCAUAUAUUGGAGCUUAUUGCGGAAAAUCCUUAUUACUAUAUGACUUUAGAGGAGUUUUACAGUGUAAUUACAAGAUAGAAUACUGACAUAAAGUCUCCAUAAGAUUCAAGUUUUGAUAUGACCAUCCUAAAUCAUCCUCUGAAUGUUGUCAGUAAAAUUAACCAUAGUUUCAAGACUGUUAUCAUCUGCAACAAUGAAGCACCAAAUUAAAAUCACAGAUUUUCAGAGUUGAGACACAUUAUAUGCACAAAACUAAUAUUCAAAUGCGUCCUGGCACCAGUCAUAGUUAGUUACAAUGAAAGAUCUACAAUUUAAAGUAGGAGACACCACUAACCAAGUUUGGGGACUGUAUGCCCUCUGGGGUGAUGAAUCACAACAGGAUUCUGGAAUGCUCCCAACAAAGCAACGCUCUCUUCCUUCAUGAAAUCUUUCUCCCCUUCACCACAUAAUAAGAAUAGAAGAUACAAUACAACUUUCAAAGUUAAAUGUAAAGGAAAAUUUGCUUAAGCAGAAUCACAUAUGAGGGACUUGAAAUUACCAAUAAUGUGAAGAGAUAAGCAAUCAAUUGGUUUUGAAAAUGCAUUAGAAGCCAAUUUAGGCAUUCCAAACUUGUUUCCACCAAACUUGGCACCAGAUAUCACAAUCAAAAACUUGAUCUUGUCUACCUUCCCAAGUGCUACACCCUAUAAAAGUCAUCAUUCCCUUUAGUGAAAUCAAAUGCAGUUUUAACUAAUUUAGCCUACUUAGAGCAUCUCUAAUGCCGCUGUUUACAAAAGUUGCUUAAAAUGAAUAGCAUUGCUCAACAAAAAUUGACAUAUAAGAAACAUAAACUAUUUUUAUUUUAAAAAAAUGUACAUUUUCAAGUUAACAAUCAUCGUCAAGACAAAGAAACAAAGCUAUACACCCAUUUAAAAACUUUAGCAUUAGAGUUAAAACUCAAGUAUUCAUUCUUUGACAAUUUAAGAAAUAAAACCGUAUAAGCAAACCAUGCUUCAUGCUUCGUAGAUACUCAUUGAAAACUCAAAUAUUCAUUCAUUCUUUCACCAAAAGGGCAUCAUCAAGGAAGGAAAGAUGAACUUAAUAUAUAAAAGAGAAAGUGUAAACAGUAAUAAGAUGAGUUUCUUGUUCAGUACCUGCGCUUGCAUUCCUGGCAAUGCAGCCGCUAAAAUUGCUCCCUGAGAGACAACAUUCCUUAUGUGUCAAAAUUGUAUAAACAAAAGAUUACAAAAAGUUCACAAAUAACAUUGUAGCAGCAAAGUCCGCACCUGAGAGAAACCCAAUACACCAUCGAAAGGACCAUUUUUGAGCAUGUAAUCUUCUAUGUAUGCUAAACAGGCUUCGAAGUUUCUAUACUCAGAGAAGUCCUGUACAUGAAAAGAUAAACGUUAGCAGCAUACUAGGAUAAUGUCGGUGGUGGGGAUUACUAAGAUGGACAGUCUUGUCUCUACAACAACCUCAUUGGCUUGGAACCAUUCAUAGUAAGGAGGAUCGAAAAUGCCUUCAACGUCAGAUCUUCCCUGCGCGGGAAAUUGGCCAUCGAGGAACACGAGGUCCAAUUUUUGUAUCACUGGUUCUGGCCAUCUUAAGACUAGCUGCUUGAGGAUUUCGCCACUGGUUCUGAAUCCGUGGAGACACAGGAUUCUGGGUUUUCUCUGGGUUUGGUCUUCUUCCAUAAUGCUCAAACUUUGACAGCAGAUUAUUGCUCAGGGUGCUUUCAUGAAAUCAAAAUGAAAAUUAGUACCAAUUUCUUUAGAUUUGGGCAAAAUGUAAGGGCCGGCGCCGCCGAACCCAUCAUUUAAUAAAAUUGUAAAACAUUGUAAUUUUUAGAUUUCAUCUUAUAAAAUCAACUCAAUCUAAAUAAAUAAAUAUAUUUCAAAUUUAAAUUAUAUUAUUAUAAUUAAUUUUAAUUUGAAAUAUAAUAAUUUAAUAUAGAAAUUAUAAUGCAUAUAUAUGUUUAAAUAAAAUAACAUUAUUUUUAUAUUUUAAAUAAUUAUUAUUAUUUUAUAAAAAGAUUAUGUAUAAGGCUAUUUAUAGGCCGAACCUGUUUAAAUAUAUUACAAAAAUAAUUCAGUUUAAUUUAUAUUAUAAUUUUUUGUAAUUGAACCGUUUGAUUAUGUAGUUUUUUCAUGUGUUAGCUACAAGACACUAGUCUAUUUCAGCACAAAUAAAAAUAAUUUAUAUAUCACUCAAAGGAUAGUUCUCGUAAUUUAUUCUCAUGAAAGGUGUUUCCGUCUGUUGACUCGAACAAUAGUCUUUGUCCCUCCUAACUCCGUCUGAGAAUUGAACUUUCUUGAUCGAAGAAUCUCUCACCUGCAAAGACAAAGGGCGUCUUGACGGUCGUUUGCACUCCAACGCUCAAGUCAGUAUAAGGGCAAAGAAAGACCAAGUGUAUAAAGUAGUUUCAGUCUUAGAAAUUGUGUACCUUGCUAGGAUUCUUAGCACCCUUUAUAUAGGUUGAAACUAGGGUUUACCUUCGCUCAUUUACCCAUAUCUAGGGUUCCUUCGAGAAUGUCCCUACGCCGCUAUUACAUAAUCUUAGCGUAAUCUGAUACAUUGAACUUCCCUUAACUGGAGUGCAACGACUAACAGAAUGGUCAUCUGGGUACCAACUUGUGCACCUAAUCUCUGGGGCCAUCUAUUACGCGGGUGUCUUAAGUAUUCACGUGUCAUGCAUGCAGCUCCCUUCGGAAACCCUAACCCUAAUGGGCCUUAGCGCCUCCAAGGACUGUUUACUCGUGUCGCGCCUGAAUGCACUAUACACACCACCUGCAUGGAUCCCUCGUGACUUAGGUUUUCCUUAUAUCUGUCGUUUUAACUGAUAACUUAGUAUAAUUCUAGGGUCCACCUUACGUGGUCAUAUAUAACUGUUCUGACCGUCAACAUCCGAUCUCUUCCUAUUCUGGCAAGGUCUGAUAUCGAUCUCCAACUUCGAGGUCUAUGGUACUAGUGUCCGAACGCUGACCCACACCCUGAUAUGCGUAUCUGGGACCCACCUUGUGUGGCCCAUCUUUGCUAUCAGGCACCGAUGCGCGACGUCUGAGAUCAGUCUCUGAAGUCGAUGACCGAUGACUGGUCGAUACAAAAAGAAAAAUAAAUUAUUAACAUGUAGCAUGAUUAAUCCGGUUAUAAAAAAAAAUCCCAUAAAUUGUUACAUGCUAAUAUUUUUUUUAAAAAUUAUGAAAUUGUCAUGAAUGUUAUAUCCUCAUUUAUUUUUUAAAAAAAAUUCCUUACAUAGAAGUAGGCCAUUCAAUUCUAUAUAUAUAUUUGAAAUUUGUAGUAUAUGUUGGUUAUUAAUUCAGAUUUUAUUAUUAUUAAUUCUGAUUUUAUUACCCUUAAACUAUUUUACCGUUAUAUUGCAUUAAUGGUCAGUUUACAGGCCUGUUAGUAUUCUUAUUUUAUAGCUUCCAGUAAUUGUAAUUUUAUUAUAUAUAUAUAUAUAUAUAUAUAUAUAUUAUAUAUAGUNNNNNNNNNNNNNNNNNNNNNNNNNNNNNNNNNNNNNNNNNNNNNNNNNNNNNNNNNNNNNNNNNNNNNNNNNNNNNNNNNNNNNNNNNNNNNNNNNNNNUUACGUUCAAUAGUUGCUACAACCUUUUGCCUUCUCUUAUUUCCUUCAAUUAAUUCCUACAACUGGUAUCAGAGUCAGUCUGUUAUCAUAAACUCUACCCAAUUAUCAGUCCCUAUCCUUGAUGGAAAAAAUUACAAUCGGUGGUGUGUGCAGAUGAAAGUUUUGUUUGAUUAUCAUGAGUUAUGGGAUGUCGUUGAGAGUGGAGUGUUUGCAUUAGCUGCUAAUGCAACUGAGGCACAACGAGUAGCGCAUCGUGAUCAGAAGAAGAAGAAGGACAAUAAGACUUUGUAUCUCAUCCAUCAAGGGAUGAAUGACGAGACGUUUGAGCAGAUAGAAUGAGCAACAACUGCCAAUGAGGCUUGGACAAUUUUGUCAACCAAUUAUAAAGGUGAUGAUAAGAUCAAAAGGCUGCGUCUUCAAACCCUAAGACGCCAAUAUGAAUUGUUGCAGAUGGAAAUCACAGAGACUAUUUAUGUCUAUAUAAAUAAAGUUCUUGCCUUCACAAAUCAGAUGAAGACCAAUGGUGAAACACAUUCGGAGCAGGCAAAGGUGGAAAAGAUUUUGAGAUCUUUAACUCCCAGAUUUGAACAUGUUGUUGCCGCAAUUGAAGAGGCCAAUGACAUUUCAAAAAUGACAGUAAGGUUAUUGUUUGGUUCUCUACGAGCGCAUGAGCAGCGGAUGAAUGACAAUAAGAUUGAAAAACCAAUUGAACAGGCUUUAGAAGCACAAGCCUCAAUUGGUAGCUCCUAUAAUAAACAUGGUAGCUAUUUCAGCAAAGGUCGUGGUGGCUAGAAUCAUGGAGGCGCUUGGCGCGGGGAACGUGGUCGCGGAGGACGAGGAGACAUUUAUAAUAAAUCAAAUGUUGAGUGUUAUAAUUUCCAUAAACGUGACCAUUAUGCAAAUGAGUGCAGAUCAAAAGGUGAUAAUCAUGCUUCCAAUUGUGCUCAAGAAGAUAGUAAUCACGAACAAGAUGAAGAGGACCAUGAAGUAUUAAUGACAACCACAUCAAAUGAAACUCCAAACAACCAGACUUGGUAUUUGGAUACAGGUUGCACGAAUCAUAUGUGUGGUCAGAAGGAGCUGUUUGCAGAUUUGAAUGACUCAUUUCGCACAAAAGUGAAAUUCGGUGAUGGCAAGUUCAUUCCAGUGAUUGGAAAAGGGCAAAUUCUUAUUACAUUGAAGAAUGGUGAUCACAGGUACAACUAUGAUGUUUUCUAUGUACCUGACAUGAAAAGUAAUCUAUUGAGUGUGGGACAACUGGCCGAAAAGGGUUACGUGAUGCACAUAGUUGAAAAUAAAUCUCAAUUUUUUAUAAAAAAAAGGUAAUUUGAUUCUUAAAAUCUUUUUAUCAAAAAACUGCAUGUUUCCAGUAGAUAUUCAUAUGGGUGAUUUCAAGUGCCUGAAUGCAAUAGUGAAUAAUGAAUCGUGGUUAUGGCAUUUACGCUUUGGGCACUUAAAUUUUCAGAGUUUGAAAAAUCUUUCCAAAAGAAAUUUAGGCUUUGUUUGGAUUAGGGAGUGGAAAUGAGGGAGUGGAUUUGAGAUGAUUUGAAGAGAAACUGUAAAGAAAGUUAGGGUGUUUGGAUUAAGGUAAAGAGAGGGGAAAGUGUAGGGAAAGUUUAUAAAAGUUUGUGAGUGAUGUGAUGGAUGUGAUUGAAAUUGUAUUUUUUUUAAUUGAUAAAAAUGUAACUUUACACAUUUGCCCUUAUAUUUAAAAAAUGAUAAAAAAAAUUAUUUUGAUUGAUUAUUUGUGAAUUACAUUUUUUUUAAAUUAAAAUUAUUUUUUCGACAAUUGAAACAUUAUUUUUGAUACCGUGUUCGAGCUAACUUCGGAAAAUUAUAAAUUAUAUAAAUUUUUUGGAUCAUAUUUAUGAUUGAUAAACAUUAUUGAGAACAAAGUUGUAAUUGUGAAUUAUUUAUUUUUCAAUUAUAGUUGUAUGCAAUUAAAAGAUUAUUUUCGGUAUGGAACAAAUUAUUUCUCAUAAUGUGUUGGAUGUAUAAUUCGAUAAAGGAUUUUUUUUUUAAGAAAUAAAUAUUAAUGUGUAUUAAUGCAGUAUUUUAGUUUAUUAAAGCAAAAUUCAUUGAUAAAUUUUGUGCAUAAUAAUAAUGAUUCAGAAAAUCAUAUGAAUGAUACAAUGAAAUAUGUUUCAUUCAAAAUAGUCAUGGAAGUCCUUAAUUUGUUUAGGGAUUCGUGUCAUUAAUAAGAUUACAGAUUCGAAAAGAAAAACACAUAUGCAUAAUAAAGUACAACCAAAUUUUUACGUAGUUUAGGGAUUUGUAGUCAUUAUCUUGACCAGCUUUCUCAUUCUUCGCUCAAGAGGCAGGCCAAAGAGUUGUUUUACCGCAUUAGGAUGACCACACAAGAAGUCGUAACAAUUAUCUAACAAAUCUCCAUCUUGUAUGUUCAUCUCCACUAACAUUUCCCAGAUGUCAUAUUCAGAGUACUGGAAAGUCGAUGUACGAGGAAGUGUGCGCGUGUGUUCACGAAAUAUGGAGUUUCGUUCUUCUUCUGCAACAACAUGGCGUCUGUUAUAUUGCAGAUUUUCUUCCGUAGCAUUAGCCACUCGCUGUGAUGACAAAGCGACAACCUUAGAUGAAAUGGCUUGUCGCUCAGCAAUAUGACAUAACCUAUCUGACUGAUCAGUACCCCUCCCAAGGAUAUCAGUUAAUCCUUCAAACCUUGUGUUAAGCCUUUCCAGUUGCAGAUCAAUGACGUCCACCAUAGGGGCUUUUCUUUUUGAGCCUCUAGAAGAAGAAGUACCACCUGAUGGCUGGGAUGACUGAGGUGGCACCAAUGGGGGUGUCAAAUUAGGGUCAGGGCUGUAUGAAUCAACAUUAGGAUCAGCUGAGCGAGGAGUUUCACAUUGAGUAGCAUCCAAUCCUGGCUCCUCUAGGAUGUCCUCCAUAUUGUGAUCAUUAAGAUCUACAUUAAAAUGAUGAGACUGAGUUCGAUUUGAGGACUGCAAUGUUGUUCUUCCACCGUGGCCAGUAGCACGAUCAAGCCCCCAAAGUCUUCCAUCAACUUGUAGUGCCUGAUGGGAUUAACACGCCAUUUUGCGGUCGAGGGCUUUGCCUGUUCAUUAAUGAAAAGAAAUACACUCAUAAUCAUAAUUAGUGGUUAAUGUAUGCGAUAAGUGAACAUCAAGUUGAAUAUGUUACCUUUAUCAACGAAUCUCACACUUCAUCCUCGGCCUCGAAAAUUUUCGUGCUUGGAUUCCAAGCAAAACCACUCAGUCCACUAAAUAGAUCAUGGAUCUCACGCCAUUUGUCCUUAAGGCUUUUCUGCCUGUUCUUCACAUUAUUUUUUGUAAUCCCUACCAAUCCAGUCUGAUGUAAGGAUUUAACAAUGUUUGUGUAACCCUGCGUCGUCCAACUACCAUCAAUGCGGUUACCCAUAGAUGCCUCAUCGAUCAUGGCAUUCAGCAAUCGGAAAUCCAUGUCGGUAGUCCAUUUUUUGUGUUCACGGACAACUGCAGAUGACUCUGAAGCAAUACCCUUCCCGUGAUCCAUGAUAAAACCUAAUAAAAAAGGUUAAAACUUUAGUACAAUAACNNNNNNNNNNNNNNNNNNNNNNNNNNNNNNNNNNNNNNNNNNNNNNNNNNNNNNNNNNNNNNNNNNNNNNNNNNNNNNNNNNNNNNNNNNNNNNNNNNNNUCAUACGUAAAUAUUAAUAAAGGUGGAAUGUCAACAUUAAACCAUGAAAUUGUUCUUACAACAAUAUAAAUAUAAGUUCACGGAUGUUACAUAAAAUUAAUUAUUACAAUAACCUUUCCACAUUUCAUUCGCUAUAGUAUCCCUAAUUUGUGACCCGAGCCUGUAGUCAUCCUCACGAGUUUGCGAGUGUGACACAUCUAUAUCUCCUUGCAUCAACUCACGGUCAACUUCUUCCAACAAAGAGUCAUCAUUAUCCACCCCGCGAAGAAAGUUAUGAAGAAUACAACAUGCUAAAACAAUAUCGGUCAUAGUGUCCACAGAGUAAUGAGGCUCUGUUCCGCUAAUGAUAAUUGGAAAUCGCUUUUUGAGGACACCAAAUGUUCUUUCGAUAACAUUUCUUAGUGAGGAAUGACGAUGAUUAAAUAACUCACGGGCAUUUUGUGGACCUCUUCGGGAAUACUCUUUUAGAUGGUAUCGAACUCCGCGAUAUGGAGUUAUAACUUGGGUUUUGAGCAUAAAACCCGCAUCUCCAAGGUAGUAUUUGCCUACAACCAUCCAUUAAUAAUUGUUACUUAUAAGUGAAUUUCAUGUCAAAAUCANNNNNNNNNNNNNNNNNNNNNNNNNNNNNNNNNNNNNNNNNNNNNNNNNNNNNNNNNNNNNNNNNNNNNNNNNNNNNNNNNNNNNNNNNNNNNNNNNNNNNNNNNNNNNNNNNNNNNNNNNNNNNNNNNNNNNNNNNNNNNNNNNNNNNNNNNNNNNNNNNNNNNNNNNNNNNNNNNNNNNNNNNNNNNNNNNNNNNNNNNNNNNNNNNNNNNNNNNNNUCGAUUGUUGUUUAAGAUAUGAGGUUCAACCUCAGUCCCAGCUGGUUGAAUUAAGAACUCUCCAUGCAUCAUCAAUAUUGCUUUCAAAACAUUAUGAAAGUGACGAGACACUGUUUCCCCGGACCGAUGAAAGAAGAACGAAACACUUCGAUUCUUGACGUUAUAACCAAUGAUGUGUAAAAAUUUAGCCACUUGUUCUUCAACUAUAGAUCGAAAUGCAUCUUUAACCAUAUCCGUUCCUCUUAUUCGUUGACAUAAAUUAAUAAAUGCUUCCGGACUCAUGCGAAUAAUGUCACGACAUCUUUCAGUAUGGACCAAGUACGACAUCAAUUCUUGUCGACGACGCUCUUUUUGUGGAAUAAACUCCGGUAUAGGAUUAUUUGUCUCGGUUAACACACGCAAUACGUUCAAUCCAUAUCCAAUCAUGCAAAGAAUUGUCAUUGCUGCUACUUAUGUCCGCAAAUUGAUUUGCUCUUGUAUUUGUGAAACUAGUGUGAAAUCAACACCAACUACAUCGGGAUUCAUGUCAUUCGUGCUAGACAUCUCGACAUUUUUGAAAUACAUAGACCAAUGGUUAUCGUUAUCCAUGGUCACAAAUCCUUGACAAUCAUAUAAGUUUAACUAUUAGGUCUAAAGAACCACCUUUUAGAGAAAUAAUAAUACUCAAUUUUUUUUACUUUUAAAAAAAAUUAAAAUAUUAUAUAUAAACUCUGUAAAGUGUUAUAAUUAUAGUUGUAUUACAAAUUCAAAAUAAUAUUUAUAAAUUUUUUUUUACUUGAUUUUAGGAAAAAAUAAAUAUUAUAUAUAAACUCUGUAAAGUGGUAUAGUUAUAGUUGUAUUAUAAAUUCAGAAUAAUAUUUAUAAAAUUCUUUUACUUGAUUUUAGAAAAAAUAAAAUCUUAUAUGUAGACUAUCUAUAAAGUAAUAUUUUAAAAUAUUUAAAUACUUUGUAUACUUAUAAUUAUUUUAUAAAUUCAGAAUAAUAUUUAUAAAAUUCUUUUACUUGAUUUUAGAAAAAAUAAAAUCUUAUAUGUAGACUAUCUAUAAAGUAAUAUUUUAAAAUAUUUAAAUACUUUAUAUACUUAUAAUUAUUUUAUAAAUUCAAAAUAAAAUUUAUAAAGUCUUUUAGCUGAUUUUGGAAAAAAAUAAAUAUUAUAUGUAAACUAUCUAUAAAGUAGUAUUUUAAAAUAUUUUGUAUACUUAUAAUUAUUUUAAAGCCUGUUCAAAAUAAUAUUUAUAAAGCUUUUUACCUGAUUUUAGGAAAAUUUAAAUAUUUAAAUAUUUUGUAUACUUAUAAUUAUUUUAUAAAUUUAAACUGAUAUUUAUAAAGUUUUUUACUUUAUUUUUAGAAAAAAAUAAAUAUCAGAAACAAUUUAAAUAUUAAUAAGUUUGUUUUAACUAUCAGAAAACUCAUUCAAACUUUCAUUAAUGCUCAUUAAUUCUCAUCAAUAUACUCAUCAAUGUGAUUAAGAAAAAACUUUGAAAACUCAAAAAGGCAGCAGCAUUCUAUUAAUUCUAUUAACAUAAAUAAAAUAAAUUACAAAUUCCUUCCCUCCACAUUUCAUUCUCAUAUUUUAUUCUCCAAAUUCCAAAUCUAUGUAUGAAACUUACCUCCAGAAACCUAGAGAAAACGAUGCCACCGCGAACCACCAACGACCACCGAGCACCACCAGCGGAACCACCACCCACCACCAGCAACGAAACCGUCCACGUCCAACGACCACCAACAACGCCGCCUACGGAACCCCACCCACACCUUGCACCUCCGACAACCGCACACCUCCAACACUUACGAACCUCCGACAACCGCUCACUUCCAACGGUUGUGAACCUCCGACAACCGCGCAUAUCCACCGCGUACCUCCGACGAGCACCUCCGACAACCGCGCACAUCCACUGUGUACCUCCGACGAGCACCUCCGACCGCUUCUAAGGGUACUCCCUCAACUCAAAACAAAUAACCCACCUCCACUCCUCUUCCAUAUUUAUCAUCUCUCUCAUUUAUUCAUCACCCACACACUUGAAUUUAUCCACCAAACAAUGUACGAAUCCCUGUUUGUGCUGUGUUUGUGUUGUGUUUAUGCAAGGAAUCUCAUGCGUGAGAAUGGAGAGAAUAUUGGAGUUGCAUGGCACGGGCAUAGGCAGCUAUGGCACAUAGGUUAGGUGAACGGAUGGGUAAUAUGGUAAAAUGAGAAAGUUUCUCUCCAAAUCUUCUCAUCUCAUCAGGGAAGCCUUUUUCCCUUUCUUUGCUUUUCUUCGCCCCCUAAUCCCCGCUAACUCCCAGAUACAAACAUCAGAUUUAUUUCCUUUUCAAUCCGGGUGAACAGUAAUCACCCGGAUACAAACACAGCAUUAGUGAAUGGUUUACCCCAUAUUCAUCACCCUGAUCAAUUGUGUGAGGCUUGCUUUUUGGAAAGAAUCAUAGGAUACCAUUUGUUAAGGAGCCUUGGCGUGCAAAAUUUCCUUUGGAGCUUGUUCAUACUGAUGUUUGUGGCCCGAUGAACAUAUCAUCAGUUGGAGGUAAUAAGUAUUUUUUAACCUUUAUUGAUGAUUUUUCAAGGAAAACCUGGAUUUUAUGUAUUGAAAAGCAAGGAUGAGGUAUUCCACUGCUUUAAAAUAUUAUAUUUAAAGCAUUUGUUGAAAGACAUAGUGGCAGACAAAUUAAGAUGGUGUGUAAUGAUGGAGGGGGUGAGUACAAGUCUAAUGAGUUCAAGAGGCAUUGUGAGGAACUUGGGUUGCAGCAUAACAUAACCUGUCCCUACACACCUCAACACAACGAAGUUGUUGAGAGAAAAAAUAGAACAAUCAUGGACACGGCGAGGAGCAUGCUUAAAGCAAAAGGUAUGCCAAAUUAUUUUUGGACUGAGGCCGUAACAUGUGCGGUAUAUUUGAUAAACAGAUCACCCACUCGGAGUGUUCCUAACACAACUCUGAUUGAGGCAUGAAGUGGAUUCAAACCCAAUGUGCAGCACUUGAAGGUAUUUGGGUCAAUUACUUAUGCUCAUGUUCCCAAGGCAGCAAGAUCGAAGUUGGAUGAUAAGGCAGAGAAGACCAUUUUCAUUGGAUAUAAGCAUGGGGAUACAAAUUGUACAAUCCAAUGACAAAGAAGGUGAUUGUUAGUCGUGAUGUUACAUUUGCCGAAGAUGAGGAAUGACAAUGGAAUGCAACAGUUGAAAUUGAUUCAAAAAAACGAUAUAUUUACGUUUUGAACGAUGAUGUGGAAGAUGGAGUCACUCUUAAAGCACCUACAGUUCAACCUGAAGCUGUAAUUCAACCUGAAAAUGCAACUCCAAUUGCAACUAUGAUGGAGCGACCAAGAAGGCAACAACGACAACCUGUACACCUUCAAGACUACGAAGUAAAUCUUGACGAUGAAGUUGAUGACAAUGGAGAUUUAGUUCACUUUGCUUUUGUUGCAGACUCAGAACCUGUGAGACUUGCCGAUGCCAUUCAACACCCCAAAUAGCAAAAGCCUAUGAAUGAAGAAUUGAUGGCGAUUGAGAAAAACAAUAUCAUGACUCAAAUUGGGAAGGAUGUUCCAAAUCAUAAUUAAGGGAGGAUGUUGGUUAUUAAUUCUGAUUUUAUUAUUAUUAAUUCUGAUUUUAUUACCUUAAACUAUUUUACCGUUAUAUUGCAUUAAUGGUCAGUUUAAUGGCAUGUUAGUAUUCCUAUUUUAUAUAGGUUCCAGUAAUUGUAAUUUUAUUAUAUAAAUGAUUGAGUAAAUUAAAAUGAAUAGAAUCAAUUUUACAAUUUCGUGCAAUUACGUUCAAUCAACAUCUAAUUUAAAAAACCAUUUUUGCAUAGGACGGAAAAUAGUUCGCGUCCUAUAAGCAAAGCUAAAUUUUAUUCUCACUAGUUUUAAACACUACAAAAAAAAACUUUUAUUAGAAAGGGCCAAAGGCGGACACUAAUCACAAAAAGCCCACGCAAAGAUGCAAUUAACGUGGGCUUUGCCUUCACACAACUUUGAAGCUAAUAUCCUUGUCGCAAAAAAACUGUCGGGUGCGUGGCGUCGCAAAAUGUUGGCUUGCGUGGGCUUUGCCUACAAGUUGCCAACACAAAAAAUUACAAAUGUUAACUUAAGCGGGGGCUUAGCCUUGGACAGAAAAUGAGGGCUUAGGCUUAGCUAGGGGGACAAUAAAAUUAGCGUGGGCUUAGCCUUGGAUAAGGGGACAAUAAAAGUAAAAAUAAAGCGUGGGCUUAGCCUUGGAUAGUGGGACAAUAAAAUUAGAAUAAAGCGAGGGCUUGACCUUGGUAAAGUGACAAUGAAAUUAGAAUGGGCUUAACCUUGGAUAUGUGGACACCUUUUUUUUUGUAUGCACUAUUUUUGGCAGCUAUUGAACUCCACUUUUAAAUAAAAGUUUGGAUUUUAAAUAUUAAAUAUUAAUAUUUUUUAAUUUGCUUUUUUUUUUGCAAUAGCAUUAAAAAGAAAAAAACAUCAAUGAAUUGAUAAGUUAAAAACUAAAAAACAAAAGUAAUGAAUAAAUUAUUAUAUUGAUGAAUAAAAAGUGUUUAAGCACCGGAAGAUGGACAUUAAUUAGUUAGCUUGGUUAUCUUAGUGAUUUCAUUAUUCUUCUUCUUAGGUUUAAGCUUUGUUGAAAUGCCUUCCAUUUGCGCUGCUUACUAGUUAUGUUUUAUCAAAACAUAUGCAAUGAAAAAACUAUCAUUUUAAUACAUUUAAGAAACAUUGUUCUAUAAUAAAUAUUUUUAUUAUAGAAAGUUAUGCACCCAACAGCUGGUUCUCUAGCUUAAGUUAUGCUUAAGUUAGUAAUUUAGCUGGAUGACCACAGUUGUGAAUGAGUAGUUUGAUAGGCUGGUUCUCUAGCUUCCAUGAUCAUCUUUUCUGGAUUCUAUGAAUAUAUUGUUUAUCAAGUUUCUCUGGACACAUAACAUAGUAUCUAAAAUUGGGGAUCGUACAACAACAACAAAGGUUUAAGGAUAGCUACAUACACAAACAUUUAAAUCAUAUGGUAUAACAUCUUGGCUCUUAUAUGUUAAAGAGAUGAUUAUAUUCAAAAUUGUAUAUUGAUCACACAGAAUCCUCUAUGGAGUUACUAAUUAAAUUGCAGAUGUCACUGCAUAUACCCUAAAAGAGNNNNNNNNNNNNNNNNNNNNNNNNNNNNNNNNNNNNNNNNNNNNNNNNNNNNNNNNNNNNNNNNNNNNNNNNNNNNNNNNNNNNNNNNNNNNNNNNNNNNNNNNNNNNNNNNNNNNNNNNNNNNNNNNNNNNNNNNNNNNNNNNNNNNNNNNNNNNNNNNNNNNNNNNNNNNNNNNNNNNNNNNNNNNNNNNNNNNNNNNNNNNNNNNNNNNNNNNNNNNNNNNNNNNNNNNNNNNNNNNNNNNNNNNNNNNNNNNNNNNNNNNNNNNNNNNNNNNNNNNNNNNNNNNNNNNNNNNNNNNNNNNNNNNNNNNNNACUCUUGAACAACAAAACAGAUCCAUGCAUAAUCCAAAUAUAAAACAAUACCAUUUCUAAUUUUUGGAUUGAUUUCCAUAGUGAAUCUAAUUACACCAAAAUGAAGAAGUUUGUGAUUGAACAUUGAAAGGCAAUGACACUUGCCAAAUGUUUUAAGCAAAGAUAGAUGUCACAACCCAGUGUGUCUGUCUUCCCAGAGGAUGAAAAGAGAACAUAUAUAUCUACGUACCUCACAAAAUUGCAAUAUUUUCCCAAAACAGAAAAAUGAGAGAUACUGCAUGAACACACUGCCAAUAAGAUACUUACCCAAAAUUGCAAUCCUUUUUUCCUUGCUUAUAUCACGAACUUUUACUGCAUGAACACACUCACUCAUCACAACACUACCAAGAAGAUAAAAACAUGCACAUCACAACACUACCAAGAAGAUAAAAACAUGCUCAUCACAACACUGCCAAGAAGAUAAAAACAUGCAAAGAGUCAUGCAUGCAAUGUGAGUAAUACAUAAAUGACUCAACCUCUCCAUGUCUUUCUAUUGCAUUGCAUAAAUUCUUGUCAAGGAAACUACAAACCAAACUUAAGAAAUGUUUUAAGAAAACUAACAAAAUGAUGAACUCAAGGCAGGGGUUGAUCCAAAAUUUGCUACACCAAAACAAAUCCAAAAUUAAUUCACUACUAGAAAACUAAAGAUCAAUAAUUCUCUCCUUAAUUUCAAUUACACCAUGUAAAAGGGUCAAAUUUCACUAUGAAUCCAGGACUGGUAAAAGCUAAGAGAAGCCUAAAUUACUUAGAAAUGGACAACUUAAAAAAGAGAGUAAAAAUUGCGAAAAAAAAUGCAUAAGGGGCAAUAGAGAAAGAAGCAAGAGUUCACUGACAAGUGGCAUGGCUGAACAGGGCAAGAAACAUAAACUUUUAAUGGCCAUGAUAUAUUUUCUUUAUCUUUUUUUCACAAUUAAUUCAGUACUUCAUAUUAAGUAGUUAAAAAUUCUGCCAGACAAAUCCUCCCCAAAUUACACGACCUCUAAACCCACAAGAACUGCCAGACUGCCAGUCAAACUACAAGGUUAGCAAUGAAUCCAACCAAAACUUAGAAUCCAAACAAGAAGUUUAGUCAGUCACAAAUAAAGACUCAAGAAUGGUAAGGGUAACAAAACCUAAAGCUUCACAAAUCCCCUGGGAUGUGUUUCCACAUCUUACCUCACAUAUCAGUCUGGAAAAAUAUGCUCUAUCUACAAUGUUUCAAAUAAAGGGGAGACAUCUUCCCUGAGCAUUUUAUUAUUACUAACCUAUGAUUUGCUAAAAAGAAUCAAACAAAAACAAUAUUCAAAUUUAUGUUUUUUAAUCCCUGCUGAAAAAGAACUAACACAAAGUUACAUAUGAUAGAUUUUUGUCAUCAAAUAAAUAACUACAUCCAAACUCAAGUAAGCAUCUCCUUCCAGUAUUUAGAUCUCCUACCUCACAUCCGUGGCUUGUUUUUCGUGUACACUAGCAGAUUUUAAUCCUUAACCGGUUUUACAUGCUAAAAAGAAAUGAACACAAACGAAUCAACACCUAGACAUAAAAAAUUUAAGAACUAUAUUUAAAUUCAAAUAGAUAUUGGUAAUAAAGACCAAGAAUUUAAGAAAGCAUAAGAUGAAUUGAAGGAAUAAAAAAACCAGAGAAAUUCAAAUAGUCAGUCCCAGUUAAAGACAAAAAUAUGUGUGGAUGCAAAGAAGAUCGAUAAUCAUGCAACACAAAUUAGGCAAGAACAUUGUUCCUUUGCACGAACCAAGUUCAAGUUCAAAAUUCAUUUGUCAAUGAAAGAAACUAAUAAAGUAUAUCUGACAGACACAUCAUAUAUUACAAACUUCAAUAAUCAACAAGAACUAUAUUCAAAUUUAUAUUUUUUAAUCCUCAACUGGAAUCAUGUUGAAAACGAACUAACGCAAGCACAUAAACGGUUACAUAUGAUAGAUCUAACAUAAAAUAAAUAACUACAUCCAAACUCAAGUAGACAUUUGUCAUGAAAGAAAGACAAAAAAUGUAGGAUAACAAAACCUAACGCAUCAAGGAUCUCCAUCCAGUAUUUAGAUAUCCUACCACACAAAGAAAUCAACACCUACACAUACAAAUUUUAAGAACAAUAUUUAAAUUCAAAUAGAUAUCAAUAAUAAAAACCAAGAAUUUAAAAAAGGAUAAGAUAAAUUAAUGAAUUCAAAAACCGGUGGAGCCUUAGUUGCUCAAAACACGCACGAUGAGGUAGAAGAUUCAACCCUUAGGCCUUAUAUAACAUACUCCAUGAUAUGGUGCAGGGCAUUAAGUGAAAAUAAUUCAAACAUCGAACACAAUUCAAUCCUUGGAGAUCAAGUAGAGAGAAAUUAAACAAUAGAGAGGAAACUCAUCAAGAAAUUAGGAUAUCCUGAGCUGCAGUCGUUUUAAACUCUUUUAGAGUUUAGGGUUUCAAAUAUCAAGUAGAAAAAAUUCAAUCAUCGAACACCAUUUAAUCCUUGGAGAUCAAGUAGAGAGAAAUUAGGGAAACAAAACAUAAUACUUCACAUCAUGUCCUACACUACACCACACAUCCAUUGCGUGCUUUCCCUGUACAGCCCAAAAAUUCAAGAAACGAAUUAGCUGUACAGCCAAAAAUUCAUGAAAACGAAAUAACCUCUUAAUAAAAAGAAGUAUAGAAAAAUGAUAAAAAUGAAGAUGCAGAUGCAGAUAAAGACUAAAAAAGACUUGGACAGUUACACAACCAAACACCACUGCAGACAAACACCAAUAAACAAAUCAUAAUCCAAUCCUUAUUUUCGGUGAUCAAUACCAGAUAAAUUAAAUAAUAGAAAGGAGACUAAAACAAGACUUGGAUCAAUUGGCCUUUCUAAACUAUUAUGUUUUUCAUUUCAUCGAUAGACAAAACAAAUCUCAAAACCAAGUCACCAGCAGAAAAGGGAUAAAGGAAUUUGAUCAAAAGAUUCAAAACUUGCCAUCAUCACAAAGAAUCACAUUCGGCGUAAAUGAAUCACAAUCCAAUAAAAGCACAUUAAUCACUUACAAAUAAUUUUUCUAUCCCACGACGCAAACAUCAUGUAAUUCUACAAAACCUUAUAGAGAAUCACAACAAUAACCGAAGCAAUACUAACAAAACUGAUCUUGGAUAUAUAUGUAAUACUAACCAAUGACUAAAUCUAAUAACCCAGCAACCAGAAACUAAAUCUAAUAACCCAGCAACCAGAAACACAGUGUUAGGGUACAAUCGAGAUGGAUUGAAAACGAAAGGAAAUGCAAAACUUACGAUGUUAGGGCACAAUCAAGAACACGGUCGUACUCCGGUCGCAAUGCUUGAAUGCUCAACAGAGAGAGUACUUCGGUCGCAAUGCUUGAAUGCUCAACAGAGAGAGUACUCCGGUCGCAAUGUGAGAAUGUUGUUGAUGCUGAGGAAAAGUGGAGUGAAGUGAGUAUUGCAUGGAGAGAAUUGCUUCAGAAUUGAAAAAUGAAAGAAGAAAAAGAAAAGAAGGGAUUAAAGUAAAGCAAAAAUAAAAAUUAAUUAUUUGUGUGUAAUUUGCAUGGGCUUAACCUUCUUAUUAUUUAAAUUUAAUUUUAAAACUUUUAACGUGGGCUUAACCUUCAAAUAUUUAAAUUUUAAUUAUUUUUAUAAUUUUAGUAGCUGCCAUUUCAACAACGCAACCAUUAUUAUUAUUUUUUUUUUGAAGUUUACGUGAGAAUAACACACGCUUUCCUCACACCUUAUUUAAUUUAUUUUAGGUUUAAUGGAUACUAUAUAGUGUCCACUUAUGGCCUUCAAUAUUUGUUUGCAGCUAAAUUAAGAUUUCUUUGUAAUGAAAUAACUUUUUUUUUACCACCAAAAGGAAUUUAGAAAAAACGAGAAAUUGAACAAUAAGAUGAACGAUGUGAUAAAGACCAAAUAAAAAUAUAUUAAGAAUAAAAUCAUUUUAGUGUUACUUAUAAAAGAAUAGUACACAUCAGAUUUCUCUGGUUACUGAUAAUAGAAUUUAUAUAAUAAAUAAAUUAUUCAUACGAGAUUACAUAAAACUAACUCAAAUUUAACCAUAGAUUGAUGACAGCUUCAUAUAUUGGAGUUUUUUUACGUGAAUUUUUUAUUAUUAUUAAGACUCUUAGGACCAAUCAAACAAUAGAACACAGUUUGAAGAGUCUUAUCAUGUACGCAACGAAGUACCAAAUAAAAUUUUGAGAUGUGUUACAACUAUACCUGGUAAAAGUGGGAUAGUCCAACCUCAUUAAACUCUUCAAGAAAAAAAUGUGAUCAUAUAGACUACUCCAUAAUUUCAACAAACACCAAUUUUCAGGUUUAGUUCCAUUCUAUAUUAUAACAUUUCAUUUUCACUUAGAAAAAAUAAAUUCACCUCCACACUUACAACUUUAUCUACUUAAACCAAUUUAAUCCAACUACGUGUUAAGAAUAUAAGUAUAAAUUUGAGUCUCAUUUAAUAAAUAUAAGAAGUUGAAUAACAAAUAACUAUGAAUAAAUAUAAAAAGUUGAAUAACAAAUAACUAAUCUUAAGUUUAGCACAAAACACAAUUAGUUCAACUAAAAACUUACAAAAAAUAUUGGAAGCAUCAAUGGAGCUUAUUGCAAUAAAAAAAAAUCUAAACAAAACAUUGUUUUGUUAAAAUGUGCAUCUAUUAGUUAAUAAGUUUAUUAUAAAACUUGUAUUGAUUUUCAUUUUCACUCAAAUUAUUUUAUUUUUUUAUAUCUUUAAUCAUGUAACGACAUGUUAUAUUCUUUUGUAGGAUAUCAUAUGAACCCGAGGGAUAAUUAAGACAAAGGUUUGGAUUUCUAAAAAUAAUAUUAAUAAUGCAAAUAAUAUUAAUAAUCUAAAUAAUAUUUAUAAAAAAAUUAUACUAGACAUUACAAACAUCUCACUUAUAUUGACAUUUCAAAUUUCAACCACCUCUAUUGAAAAAAAAAAUUAUUAAACAAGUAAAAAAAAAUACAAACAAGUACGAGAAAUUAAAACAAAAUCCAUACUAACCAUAAAAUACAUCAAAACUAAACAAGAGAAACAUAGUUAAUUUAUACCUAUUAUGGAAAAUGUUCAAGAAUAUAUUAAAAUAAUAUAUUAAAAUACAGUCUAUUAUACCAAAUAAAGUCUUACCUAUAAAGAAAGUCUAAAUUGACAGAUUUAUCAUUACCCCUCUUAAAAUAUGAAAGACAUACUUUUACAAUAAAUAAGACAUUUAUUUCAUUUAUUCUUAAUAAAUCAUCAAGUCACAUGAGUCAUAGAAGGAAAAGCAAAGCAAACUAAUAUGAUUCACACUCUUACCAUAAUAAAUUAUAAACCAAUGUAAAUAACAUUUAAUGAGGGAUAAAUUUUUUCAAUAAAUAAUAAUAUUUUUUAAUUUAUUUUUAGUUAUUUGUGAAUCUCAUUUCGAUUUGAUAUUUAAUUUGAGUGUCAUAUUGUCAUUAACCAAUAUUUAAUUGUUUUUUCUCUUAUUCUAUUAUUGUGUCAUUCCAUUUGGAGCAAUAGAGGGGCUAGUUUAGUGUAUGUGUUGGCAUUUGAUUUGUUCCUUUUCGGUAUGUUCGUACAAGGUAAAAUCGUAAAAAGGAAAAAUUAGAAAACUGUCUUGUUAGAGUAUUGUGUUAGCAUAAUAUUGAUCUCAAAAUAAGGUUAUUUUGUAUGUUAUUGUUUUAUAAAUCUCAAAACAAAUUUUGCAGGUUCAAGAAAAAGCUUUGGAAUAUGGAAAUUAAAUAUAAAUAUUUAUCAAAGAAUAGAAAAAUACUUCAAGUUAGCAUGUUCCUCAAUUGGAAUAUCGAUCUCAAAAUAAGUUUAUUUUUGUACUUCACUAUUUUAUAAAUCUCAAAAAAAAAUUGCAGGUUCAAGAAAAAGCUUCGGAAUAACAAAAUUAAAUUUAAAUAUUUAUCAAAGGAUAAAAAAAAAAUUAAAAAAAAAAUACUACGAUCAAGUUCAUUUUCUUGAAAACUUUACGAGCUCUAAAAUAAAUAAAAAAUACAACUAAUUAUUCAGAAAUUUAUGAACUUGGAAAUUUUUAAUUUUCAUUAAGAAUAAUUAUUUUUUAUGAUAUGUUAUUUGCAAUUAAUUAAUCUAGUAAAAAAUUACAAUCAAAUAACGAGACUAUUGAUAAAUUAAAAGGUAUUCGUUUAUUUUAUUUCUGUAAAUUAUAGGAAAAAUGAAUUUGAAAAUGCAUUGUCUUCUGCUAAAGAAAUUGCUUUUGAAAUAGAUACAGAGUAUAAGUUAUGUGAAAAACAUGGUAGAUCUGUUGAUAAUAUAAGUUAUGUGAAAAACAUGGUAGAUGUGUUGAUAAUGAAAUUCUAAAAUCUCCUAAAAAAUCAUUUAGAUUUUAUGACUUUCUAUACAUUCAAAGAAAACAAUUAACUCCAAAGUUGAUUUAAGAAUUCAAAAUAUAAGAAAAUAUGAAAAAUAUUUGAAGAAUAAUUUCGUGAUAUUGAUGGAUUAUAUUUAUUUUCAAAAUUUAAUAUCUUAAAAGAAAUGACAGAAUUGAAAAAUAAUAACUAAUUGACCUUCUAAAUCAUAUAAAAUAAAUAAAUUAUUUUCCAAAUAUAUAUAUAAGAGAGGGAUUACAGGUAAUAAAAUAAUAUAAAUAUUCUAGUACUACCAAUAUAAUCAAGAAAUUAAGGUGAAUGAGAAUUUAUAUUUUUUUUCUCCAAUCCAUAAAGAAAUGUUUUAAAAAAAAUCAUUAUAAAAGAUCGAUCUAUUAUAAAGUGGAUUUUAAGCUUAACUCAAUCCCAUAAAACUGGUUUAAUCCCAUAAAACUGGUUUAUAGGGUUGAGGAUUGCACCCACUUAUAUACGAUGAAAGACUCUAAUCUCUAGUCGAUGUAGAUUCCAACAUCAACCUCAAAUAAUAUUUCUUGUAAUUAAGAUCAAAACAGUAAACGAUUACAAUAUCGAUUGAUUUCGUUGAAAUGAUUUUUUUAAAACUAAAAGUUACUUAAUAUUAUCAACGAAACCCGAGGCUCACCUCUCCUUUGACCAUGUUAAUUCACAAUCUCUUUCACUAUGCCAUUAAAUGAGUUUGGAACAAGUUUUGUCUUUCUCACCGUCGUCAUGCUUCCCAAGGACCCAUUCACUUAACUCUUCGUGCGUUCCAAUGCAAACAAGUCAGGGUUUUGAUUUGCUUCCUACGAAUCCAAAAUUAGUAACUACAGAAUGUUGUUUGUUGUUGACUCUACAAAUUUAGGGUGGGAAAGAAAAGUUUAUAUCAUACUACUCCACUUCAUAUGCUACUUCAUUUGAUUUUUUUAUUGGUUGUUCUUUGAUGAAGUUUUUCAUUGCUGUUGAUGUUCUUGGUGGUUCUUUGGUCAAGGUGUCUAUUGCUACACGGUGUGUGGGUGAAUUUGUUGGUGACUAGAUUUUUUUGUUAUCAUGGGCUGGUGCAUAGUUGUACCUUUUUUUUUUCAUUGAAAAUUUAAUUUGUAUGGGUGAAAUCUAAACUAUAAAGAUGAUGAAAUUUGCUAAUUCUAGAAUACGUUGUGAUUUUGCAACUAUUUUAUUUUACUUCUACUAUGUGUGAAUUUAGUAAGGUUGAAACCAUCUUGAAAUCUUUUUUAUAUUUAUUUAAACUAUGAUUUGACUCUCGCUAUUUGUUUAUAUUUUAAUAUUAAUUAGGACUUAAUCCUCUUUAAGUUAGAGUAUGUUAAGGUUGCGACCUCUCUAGGUUAGAGUAAGCAAGGUCUUGAUCCUCUCUCUAAUUUAGAGUUAAAGUUUUCCAAUUUCCAAUAAACAACUCUUUUACGUUGUUAAGCCCACUCUAUUAACGAGAGUCCAAUCUACAUUAUUAGUUUCCACUUAGAGAGGACUUAUGAUUGUUAUAGGUUGACGUAAAUAAAAAAGUCAUUUUCAAUCCGUUCACGGUGUAUGGAACACUAUAUGUCCACAUUAAUUAUAAUGUAACGACUUCUUUUUCAAUUUUAGUCCAUCUUUGACUCAUGCUAUAGACAUUUUUCUUGUAAUUUGAUAACUUUGGAUAUUAGAAUGAGAAAUUUUUCUCGGUCAUCAUCCACUGAAUUUGAGUGUUGGAGUGACUAAUAACUCAAUUAAGGGAAACUUCAAAAUAUUAAUUCAUAAAUCACAUUUAUUAUAGAUAUAAAUGUAAAUUUGAGAAUAGGGAAUUAUGAUUGUAUUAAAAAAUAAAUAUUAUUUGUGUGUUUUUAUAACAUGAUUGAUAAAACUUACGUAACCAUUUAAAAUUAAAGCGAAAUAGGAUUAAUUGAGAAAUGUAUCGAUUAGCACAUGUAUGUUCUUUUCAACGGCUUUGGUGACCUAAUUAGAAAACGUCAAACUAUACUGGCAACCUAACUGGAAAACUUCAAACUAUACAGCCAUUCCAUUACUUGUGGAGUAAGGCAAAAAUGCCUUUGUGUUUACUUUUCUAGUAUACGUGCAAGUGUACAGGUCCACUAAUUUCGCAUAUGGUUCUUUCAUUGGCUUUUUAUUGAGUAUAGAUAUGAAAUAUAUUUGGUCCACGUCAAAAAGAAAAAGAAUUGAAAGCGAAACCAAAAAGCGAAAAAAAAAGUAGAAUUAGAAAAUUAAAUAAAUGUUGAAGUUAUUUGAUAAAAUAUAAAUAAUUAUGUUUUCUAUUUCAUUUCUCCUAUUGCAUCAUAUCACGUGACCUAUUUAUAUUCAUAUUGAUUUACUAGGAUUAAUAGUGUUGGAAAGGAAAUAUCAAUUUUGUUUCUUCUACAACUUAACAAUUAACUUAAAUGCUUGUUUGGUAUUGUUAUAAAUCUGAGACUUAGACUGAAAAGUGAAUUGUGAACUUAUGUUUAUUAUUAGAUUAAAAAGUGAGUUGUGAACUUAGGUUUAUUAUUAUAAAUUAUUUAUACUUAUUUUAUUUGUGUAGUAAGUUACGUGUGUUUUUAUUAGUUGAAUGGUGUUGGUUAUUAAUUAUGAUUUCUAUUAUUAAUACUGAUUUCACCGUUAUACCGUUAUUGUUUCAUUAAUGGUUAGUUUACUUAUUUCCUUCCAUUAGUUUCCUACAAUUGGUAUCAAGAGCUAGUCUGUUAUCAUGAACUCUACCCAAUUACUAGUCCUAUGGAAAAAAUUACAAUCAGUGGUGUGUGCAAAUGAGAGUUUUUUUUAUUAUUUAUUAUCAUGAGUUAUGGGAUGUCGUUGAGGGUGGAGUGGUUGCAUUAGCUGUUAAUGCAAUUGAGGCGCAACGAGUAGCGCAUCAUGAUGACAAUAAGGCUUUGUAUCUCAUCCAUAGGGAUGAAUGACAAGACGUUUGAGAAAAUAUAAGGAGCAACAACUGCAAGUGAUGCUUGAAUCAUUUUGUCAACCAAUUAUAAAGGGUGAUGACAAGAUCAAUAGGGUGCGUCUUCAAACCCUAAGACGCCAAUAUGAACUGUUGCAGAUGGAAACCACAUAGAUUAUUGAUGUCUAUAUAAAUAAAGUUCUUGCCUUGACAAAUCAGAUGAAAAGCAAUGGUGAAACACAUUCGGAGCAGGCAAAGGUGGAGAAGAUUUUGAGGUCUUUAACUCCCAGAUUUGAACAUGUUGUUGCCGCAAUUGAAGAGGCCAAUGACAUUUAAAAAAUGACAGUAGGGUUAUUGUCUGGUUACCUACCAGCGCAUGAGCAGCGAAUGAAUGACAAUAAUAUUGAAAAACCAAUUGAACAGGCUUUACAAGCACAAGACUCAAUUGGUAGCUCUUAUCAUAAACACGGUAGUUCACGAGGCAGAGGACGGGGACAUGGUGGUAGCUAUUCCAGCAAAGGUCGUGGUGGCUAGAAUCAUGGAGGCGCUGAGCAAAAUAACAUUGGUUUCAAUCACAUUCCAAGUUCAAAUAACUCUUGACGUGGAGAACGUGAUCGCGGAGGAUGAGGAGGCAUUUAUAAUAAAUCAAAUGUGGAGUGUUAUAACUGUCAUAAACGCAACCAUUAAGCAAAUGAGUGCAGAUCAAAAAGUGAUAAUCAUGCUGCCAAUUGUGCUCAAGAAGACAGUAAUCACGUACAAGAUGAAGAGGAUCAUGCAUAACUAAUGACAGCCACAUCAAAUGAAACUCCAAACAAUCAGACUUGGUAUUUGGAUACAGGUUGCACAAAUCAUAUGUGUGGUCAAAAGGAGUUGUUUGCAUAUUUGGAUGACUCAUUUUGCACAAAAGUGAAAUUCGGUGAUGGCAGGGUCGUUCCGGUGACUGGAAAAGGGCGAAUUCUUAUCACAUUGAAGAAUGGUGAUCACAGGUACAUAUAUGAUGUUGUCUAUGUACCUGAUAUGAAAAGUAAUUUGUUGAGUAUGUGACAACUGGCUGAGAAGGGUUAUGUGAUGUACAUAGUUGAAAAUAAAUUCUCAAUUUUUGAUAAAAAAUGUAGUUUGAUUCUUAAAACCUUUUUAUCAAAAAACCGUAUGUUUCCAGUAGAUAUUCAUAUGGGUGACUUCAAGUGCUUGAAUGCAAUAGUGAAUAAUGAAUCGUGGUUAUGGCAUUUACGCUUUGGGCACUUAAAUUUUCAGAGUUUGGAAAAUCUCUCCAAACGAAAUUUAGUGAAUAGUUUACCCCAUAUUUAUCACCCUGAUCAAUUGUGUGAGACUUGCAUUUUUGGAAAGAAUCACAGGAUACCAUUUGUUAAGGAGCCUUGGCGUGCAAAAUUUCCUUUGGAGCUUGUUCAUAUAGAUGUUUGUGGCUCAAUGAACAUAUCAUCAGUUGGAGGUAAUAAGUAUUUUUUAACCUUUAUUGAUGAUUUUUCAAGGAAAACCUGGAGUUAUCUAUUGAAAAGCAAGGAUGAGGUAUUCCACUGCUUUAAAAUAUCAUAUUUAAAGCAUUUGUUGAAAGACAGAGUGGCAGACAAAUUAAGAUGAUGCGUAGUGAUGGAGGGGGUGAGUACAAGUCUAAUGAGUUCAAGAGGCACUGUGAAGAACUUGGAUUGCAACAUAACAUAACAUGUCUCUACACACCUUAACACAAUGGAGUUGUCGAGAGAAAGAAUAGAACAAUCAUGGACAUGGCGUGGAGCAUGCAUAAAGCGAAAGGUAUGCCAAAUUAUUUUUGGGCUGAGGUCGUAACAUGUGCGGUAUAUUUGAUAAAUAGAUCACCCACUCGGAGUGUUCCUAACACAACUCCGAUUGAGGCAUGGAGCGGAUUCAAACCCAAUGUGCAACACUUGAAGGUAUUUGGGUCUAUUACUUAUGCUCAUGUCCCCAAAGCAGCAAGAUCGAAGUUGGAUGAUAAGGCAGAGAAGACCAUUUUCAUUGGAUAUAAGCAUGGGGGAUACAAAUUGUACAAUCCAAUGACAAAGAAGGUGAUUGUUAGUUGUGAUGUUACAUUUGUCGAAGAUGAGGAAUGGCAAUGGAAUGCAACAGUUGAAAUUGAUUAAAAAAAAACGAUAUAUUUACGUUUUGAACGAUGAUGUGGAAGAUGGAGUCACUCUUGAAGCACCUGCAGUUCAACCAGAAGCUGCAAUUCAACCUGAAGUUGCAAAUCCAAUUGCAACUAUGAUGGAGCGACCAAGAAGGCAGCAACGACAACCUGUACACCUUCAAGAUUGGCGAAGUAAAUCUUGAUGAUGAAGUUGAUGACAAUGGAGAUUUGGUUCACUUUGUUUUUCUUGCAGAUUCAGAACCCAUGAGACUUGCAGAUGUCAUUCAACACCCCAAAUGGCAGAAGGCUAUGAAUGAAGAAUUGAUGGCGAUUGAGAAAAACAAUAUCAUGACUCAAAUUUGUUUUAAUCCAGAUAUUCCAAUUAAGAUUUAUGUUGACAAUGUCUCUGCAAUUAAUCUUGCAGAGAAUCCAGUUUUUCAUCAAAUAAGUAGUCACAUUGAUAUUCGAUAUCACUUCCUGCGAGACCAAGUUAAGAAGAACAUGAUCAAAUUGGAAUACUACAGAUCAGAAGAUCAGAUUGCAAAUAUUUUCACUAAGCCAUUGAAGAUCAAUGCUUUCAUCAAGUUAAGAAAUCUGUUGGGUAGGAAGGUUGCUCCAAAUCAGAAUUAAGGGAGGAUGUUGGUUAUUAAUUCUGAUUUUAUUAUUAUUAAUUCUGAUUUUAUUAUGCUUAAACUAUUUUACCGUUAUUAUUGCAUUAAUGGUCAGUUAGUAUUCCUAUUUUAUAACUUCCAGUAUUUGUAAUUUUAUUAUAUAUAUUAUAUAUAUUAUUGAGUAAAUCAAAAUAUAUGAUACCAGCUCAACAGUUUUGCAAUCUUGUGCAAUUACCUUCAAUCAGUUUCUACAACAUUUUGCCUUCUCUUAUUUCCUUCAAUUAGUUCCUACAAAUGAGAAUAUAAUUAAUAUAAUUAUUUAAUAAGAAACUUAUAUACCACCUCAAGUUAUUUUGGAGUCAAAAUAUUAUAGGAAUGGUUAUCAAUGAAUGAUUUACUAAAAGUGGUAAAUUUUCUUGAGGUUUUAUGAAUGUGAAACCUAAAUAUGUAAAUUUUGAUAGUCAAAAGACUAAUCCCUUUAAGAAUUAAUAUAUUUCAAUAAAAGUGAUUGGAUAUGGUUUUAGUUUGGAGUCAACAACUUAAAGAGACUUGUGUCAAUGUGUAAUCUAUUCUAAUCCACAUAGGUUGAACUCCUAUUAAGGAUACAUAAAUUUUUAAUCUGAUCAACAAGCUAAAGAGAUUGUAUUAAAAAUAUUUCAGUAGUCUAACAGUGGUUGCGAAUUCACGUGAUAUGUGUAGCUCUCAAAGUAAAUAACUUGUUUUCCAAGCUAUCCAAAGAGAUCAAUAUACUUGUCUCCCAAGAGAUUUAUUACUACCCAUGUCAUUUAGACACAAAUAUUUAUGAUAUUGGUAAAAUUAAAAAAAAAUAACUUUACCUACAAAUAGUUAAAAUAUUUGAAAUAAGUGAAGUAAAUGAAUAAUAUAAAUUUAUUCAGAGAUUAUUUAUUAUGAUAAACCUAAUUUAUUUUAAAAGAAUAUAUGACUAAUACAUUUUUUACUUACUCAAAUAUAGUUUAAUUUAUUUUAAAAAAAAUCCAAAAGCUAAAACUUUAGAACAUAAUAUUUUAAAUGUUUUACUUUACACGUGUAAUCCUUAACUAUUUAAAUGUUAUACAAUUAUUAUAGAUAUAAUAACUAUUUUAAAGAAAAUAUUUUAUUUAUUUUAUACAUUUUUCUUACAACAACAAAAUAAAAACCAUAGAUAAAUCCCACUCUUUUAGUGUUUUUUUUUUCUUUCUCUUUUCUCAAUUUGCCAAUUUGCCGUCAUUGUUGAAGAUCUCACCCACUAAUCAAAGUCAUAUUUGAUGUGAAUGUUCUCUUCAAUUCAAAGUUUAUCUUAAUAUUAUGCUAAACUUAGACUUAGUCUAAACCUUACUGACUUGAUUUCAACUUUUCUUUAUAUUUCUUCUUUUUAUACAUAACUUUUCAAACUUUUAAUCUUACACAAAAAGCAUGUCAUUCUUCUCUGACAACAUUUUAUUUCAAUUUUUCUUGAUGGUGUGCUUCAUUUGAAAUUUCAUUUUACUUUAUAUUUCAAUUUUGCUCAUAAGUUAUGAUUGGAGUUUAUUCUAAUUUUUUCCAGUGUCUUAAUAUUUUUCCAUAGUGUGUUUGAUUUUUUAAUUUUCUAUGCAAAAAUUAGUGUUAAUAAUUGUGUCUAACUUUUCUUGUACUCUGUCCUUUAGUUUGAAUGCUUCAUCCUCUGUUCUGCUUCUAAUUUUUCUUAUAUUUUAUCCUGUGUUUUGAAUGCUUAAACUUUUACACUUGUUUUAACCUGUUUUGCUAUUAAUUGUUGUUUACUUGUUGUGAUAUAAGGUUUGCGUGAUUAGUUAGUUGAUGGCAUACAAGUAAUGAAGAACUUUUAAGUAACACAGUUAGUUAAUACUCAAUUAUUAAAAUAUUGCAAGACAUUUCUUAAAAGUGUUUUAUGUUUUAUGUAAUUGUAUUUACCUAUAAUGAAGUUGAUAGCGAAAGAAAUAUUUAAUACUUUUUUUUUCUUUUUUUUUUCUUUUGGAAGGAAUCGAGGGAUACAAACUAUAUCUUCAUAUAUGGAAAAUUAAUUUAGUUAUAUCAGUUGCUAAGUGAAGAUCAAGAUCAUUUGUUUAUUAGUGUGUACGUAUUGAUGUGUUUUGGGAUUAUUAAAAUUUGACGUGUUUGAUAAAGAGUGAUUUAUUCAUAAGUAAACUAUGUUUUGGGAUUAUUAAAUUACGUAUUGAUACUUUUAUUUUCGUGAGGGGAAUGCAUGUGCUGAUAAGUUGACUAAUUUAGGGUUCAUUCAUAGAUAAUCAUUUUAUUGGUAUAAUAGACUUCUAUCUAGUAUGUUCUUAGAAUUCUUUAUGAAUAGGUAUAGUCUACCUAUGUAUCGUUUUUGUUAACAUGUGAGUUUUGGUCUAAUCCUCCCAUAUUUUGGUAUUUUUUUUCUUUUUUUUAAUAAUAUGUUUUUCAUGUGAUGGCAGAUGAUUGUUGUUACUUGAGGUGUCAGCCUAGCUGAGAUGUCAAGUUGCAUAAUGAUGUCUAACAUGGAAAAUUUUAUAAAAAAUAAAAAAACAAAAAAAAACUAUGGUUUUUGUUAUUGAGAAAUUGUUUUUAAGAAAGUGUUGAUUACAAAUUACUAUUUUUUUUAAAAAAAAAUUGUUUUGAACAUCGUAACAUCUUUUUAAUGAAAAAUAUUUAUUGCAUAUAGGGGCUUUUAACAAGUUUGGAAUUGAGUGGAAAUUGGUGUUGGUUUAUGUUGCAAGUUGAUGGUUGAAUCAUAUUCAUAGAUAGAGUUGGUACUUUUUAAUAAUGUAAUUUAGUAUAUUAUUGAUAUUUUAAAAUGAUAAAGAGUGUGUGUAUAAUCUCAAUAAUAUAUGAUUUAAAUGUAUUAAAAAUUGAACUUUAAACAUAAAUCAACUUUAAAAAAUCGACUCAUAAGUUAAGGUUUGCACUUACUUAUAUAUUAUGAAAUGUUUUUAUCUUUGGUCGAUGUAGGAUUUUCAACAUUUCCCUUCACGUCAAGAUCUAUCAAUUCGUGUGUGAAACUAUAUAUUUAUAGGUGGUCAGAUAGCAACCGACCUUAUAAGUCUAACAAACUCUCAUUAGGAUAAACUGUAAAUGACUCUAAUACCAUAUUAAGAAGUGAAUUUUAAGCUUAAUUCAAUUUUAUAAAAUCAAUUCAUAAGGUAAUAUUUACACUCACUUAUAUAAUAUGAAAUGUUUUUAUUUCUAGUCGAUCUGAAAUCUCGAACAAAAUGUGAAAAUAUUCAAUUUUACAAGUAUGAUUAUUAUAAUUAUUAAAUAGGAGAGAUAUGAUUAUUAAGAUCUCAUUACUUGUAUUAUAAAAAAAACCCACGAACUAAAUUUUGUAUUGAUAAAAACUUGAGGAUUGUGGUUGAAAAGGCAGAACAAUUGUAAGAAUUAUCUUUUCAAGCAUAAUACAAAGUAUUUCUUUGUAAUUGAUAAAAAUUUAAACUGACACAUCAAAUAUUUAAAUUAUAUUAUUGAAAAUGGGUUCAUAGAUGAUUUAAAGAAGUAUAUGGUACAAGUUGAAAAUUUAAGAGGUUUUAAAGCAAUAAUAAUCAUAAAAUUUGGAGGAAUGACGUCCAUUCAAAAGUGAUAGGAUGAAAAAAGAAAGACAUGUAUGUUGUUUUAAUAGACUUCCACCAACUAAAUAUUUAAAUAUCUCAUCUCAAAAUUCUAUAACAGAGAAUAAGAUUAACAAUUUAGAAAAGAUUUUUAAAAAUCUUUUAUCUUUUCUUUAGAAAACAUUUUUAAAAAUCUUUUAUCUUUUCUUUAGAAAACAUUUUUAAAAAUCUUUUAUCUUUUCUUUAAACAUGAUGAGUGGUAAUUGUUCUUGCCAACAAUGUGGAAUCACAUCUUCAAGGUAGUCUCCGAACAAUCUUUCGGUAUUGUAGUCCUUGAGUGCUUGAAGAUCACCAAGUGAUGAGGGGAGCUCCACUCGUUGACAAGACUUCGACAAUCAAAUCAGUGAGAACAUUAAAUAUUUCAAUGUAGUAUGUAUUGCAUAGAAUAAUACUUGUCUUUGUUUGGGGACUCAUGACCCUUAUAUAGGACUCGUAGAUCCUUUUUUAGGAGUUUGUAAUCAGACACUUCCUUUGAACUUUUAGUUACACGAUUCGAUUUGUUGGACUCGAUCCGACUGACCCGAAAACGUCUAUUGAGUCCGAUCCAUUGGACCGAAAACACCCGAUCCACAUUAUCGGGUUCUACCCCGAUCUUGACUGAACGAUACAGUAAUAUACAAAUUGUAAAUAAAAAAUAAAAAAUAUAGUAAUUACAUUUAAUCAUCUAUAAAAAAAUUUAAUACUAAUAUGAUAUUUUAAAAAGAUAUUUUUUUCGGAAACACUUGAUGAUGAUGGAAGGAUUGAAAUUAUUCUAAUAGUAAUGUUUAAACACAGUAAAAAAAAGUCAAGUGAUAUGAUAAUGAUUGAAAAUUUACUUUUAAAUACAAUUAUCAUUUUUUACUAUAAGAUCAAUUUUUUUAAUGUGAUUACAUAUAUUUUAUAAAUGAUGUGGAUUUUUAUGGCCUGUACACAUCAUUAAUGAGUGAGAUAAUAUGUUUAAUCAUUUGCCAUUUAAUUUUUAGUACUUUCAAUGAACAAAUGAGAUUCAUAUGUAAGAAAUUUAGCAUCGAUUAUGACUCAUAGGACACAAAAUGUAUUUCAUUGAGUUGAGUGUGGUAUUUCAAUACCUAAUUAAUAUUUUUUUUGUCAUUAGUAAUUUGGUAUUGAUUUAAAAUCGAAAUUGUUGUUGACUAUUAAGAUUUAUUUGCUUUUGUAACUAUUAUGUUUUCCUCUUAUAAAUUUUGUUUAUAUUUUAGAUUAUAAAGUUGUUGUAAAACAUUGCAAAAACUUUUCUUAGUGGUUUUUAUCUAGUACAAUCAUUUAUAUUUUAGUGGACUUUUAUUGAAUUGAAUACACCCUACUCCAAUAGCCUAUGACGAGUCACACAAAUUUCAUUUGACAACAAAGAAUCUAUAGGGACAAAAAGUGGAACUUAUAGAGAAUCUUUAAAUUCAAAUUGAUAUUUUGAAUAAGUGAACAAAAAGUUAAACCCAUUUAUUAUAGCCAUUGUUUCCAAAAAUAUUUAAUAGUGAAUAUUUGAGCAAAUAAUGUAGAAUGUAUUAUAGCUAAAGACAAACAUCAUAUUAUUGUUUGGUACACGGAAAAUGUUAUAUUAUCACAAUUAUCGGUAUAUAUUAAUAAAUUUAUUCUCAAAAUUUUAACUAAUAAAUUUAUUCCACCAUUUUAUACAUGGACUAUAAUGAUAGAUUGUUAAAUGCCCUUAAAAUUUUACAUCACACUUUAUAUAGUAAAAAUAUUAUCAUGAUAUCUAUUACAAUGAAAGAAUGACAUAAACAAAAAUAUUUUGGUAUUAAAAUAUUAACGAAAAAUAAUAAAUUAUAUGGUAUUAUUAGUAAAGUAAGGAACUAAAAAUUAUUGAAGUUUUUGUGGAAUAAACUCAUACGGAAUAAUAUGUCAAAAAAAUUAAUUGAACUUAACAAUUGUUUUUUAUUAGCUAUAAGAAUGAAAUUAAUAAAGAUAUAUAUUUUAGAGAUAUAUUAACCUUAUACAAAAUCAUCAUUAUCAAACUUUCAUCUUGCAUUAAGUCUAUAAUGAUAUUAUACUCAAAACAGAUUAAUCAUACUAAAAACCACAACAUAAUCUAUUAAUCCAAACUUCUUAAAAAUGAUGUUCUUCUCAUAUUGAAUAUAUAGUUUUUAUUGAAGUUAAUAGUAACUCAUCAUGAUUAAAAAACAUGUUGUUUAGAGUUAAUUUUGUUUGAUAGACAAUUAUAUCAUCUAACUAUAUUACUUUAUUGUGUAAUUCCACUAUAUUGAUAUAAGUCUCAAUUUGAUGUACGGGAAAAGAUAGAAAAGAAAGAAAUGGGAGGAGUACAUUUGUUUAGUUAAUUAAAAAAGCUAAAUAAAUAUGUUUAAAAAAUUGUGAAACUGUGAAGUAUAUGAUAAGAAAAUCUGAACUUGUAAAUAUUUAUAACUAAAGUCUGCAAAAAGUAUAAAUAUUUUAAUUAUUUAUUUGUUAAAAGAGUGAAUAUGGAUAUCAUGCUAUUUAGUUAGCGAAUGUUCACUGUCCAUUAUUAAUUAUUUUUAUUUGAAUAUAUUUUUUAAUUAAGCAAUUGAGUAAAAUUAUUAACGAGAAAACAUUAAAAAUUGAUGAAUUAUUUAUAACUUAAUUUUAUAAAUGUAUAGUUUUUAUUUAGACUUGUGGAGCUAAAAUUAUCUUCAAAAGAUUAAUUUUAUUUAAAGUUAUAUUGUGAAGAAUUUUUUUAGAAUGAUUAAUUUUUUUCUAAUAAUAGCUUAUGAAACAUUUUUAUUAUAAUUAUACAUUAAUAUCAAUAUUUUAUCUUAUUUUAUUUUAUGUUUUAAAGAAUAAUUUUUAAAUAAUAUUAUUUUCUUAAAAGAAGGAUCCACGUGUAUCUAUUGAAAUAGGCAAGUAUUUUAAAUAACAUUAUAUUUUUUUAGUAGAAAUACUUCUUCAUAAGAUUUAUUUAUAAAUAACAAGUCACUUUAGAUAUGGUUAUCUCCUACUUCCAUAUCAAUGUAGACUCUUAUAUGUGUGACGUCAUUUAUUAUGAACUUGAAAUGUACUAUCUUAAGUGUAUCCUAUAGAAAACACCAUCACAUUCAAGUCAAAUAAUAUAAAAAUUAAGUAAUAAAUGAAUAAUACAUAUUUUGAGAUCUUCACCAUUAACUUUUAUUUAUAUCGAGUAUCGGUGGUUAAAUAUGACUUUAGUAUUGAGUUAAGAUUUUAAUAAUAAAAAUAUAGUGUAAGGGAAAAUAAUGUUAAUAUUUUAAUACUUUUGCGUGUUGAAAGAAAGAAAACAAAUCUAAAAAUAACUAUAGUUUAAACUUCGUUAAUUUUAAUAAAAAGCAUCUUCAAAACCGUAUUUAGUAGUAUAUAUAAUUGUAUUAUUUCCAGUUAUUUAUUUUAUUUUGUAGAUGCUUUCUAAAUUUAAAGGAAGAACCCAGACUUUAACCAAAACAUAUUUCUAUCCAAAAUAAAUGUAUGGUUAUGGGAAAAAAUAGCCUACAAUUGAUCAUACAAUCCAUUCAUUAAAUAAUGGAGUACAAUACAAUGUGCUAUAAUGAACCCAACAACGUCUUGUUCUAGGUUUUGUAUAUUCAGUCAUUGAUUUCUAAAUUUUUAUAUGAAUGUUUACAAUAAUAUUUCAAGGUCAAGUUAGUACUUCCUCCGAAUAAAGAAUAUAAAGUAAAAAAAGUUAAGAAUUCAUUAAUUAAUACUUAGUUUGAAGAAAAAACAUAUAAUAAAAAGUUAUAUAUUUAUUAUUUUCAAUUCACCUAUUUAUAACGGUAUUCUUCUAGUUAAGAAGAAUGUCUUCCAACUAAAGAUUUAGUUUAGUCAAAAAUAGUUAUUUCCAACUAAAUUGUAGUUCUGUCUCAUACCAUCAUCUUCCUCUUUUAUUUAAUAAUUAUUUCUCUAUUAUAGUAUUUGUCUCAUUCUUAGAUACAUUCUUAGAUUAAUUACAAUCUCGCAUAUUCAGUUAAUGUUUGUCACUUUCAAUAAAAAAAAUAAAAAAAAAUUUCAUUAUUUUAAUAAAUAGAUCAAUAUCAUAACCGUUUUCAUCUAUUAUUGGAAUCGACUUAUGAUCUCACAGUUCUCAAAUUCCAACAUAAUCCAAUGAGACUAAUAAGAUCAUGAAGUAAUUAAUUAUAGGAUGUAUCUUAAAUUUUGACUGAAAUCCAUACCAUUGAGGUUGAUGCAAAAGUUCACAUAUACUAUUAUACCUCAUCUAUAGAAAUGAUUAAUUGAGAUCCAAAUAGACUUAGAUGCGCUUAAUCAUAAUUUAUAUAUUGUUUACUUUACUCUACUUAUUAAUUAUAUUAUUACACCCUUAAUUUCACUUUAGAGAUACUUGCAUCAUUCAGUGGUGAGAUGUUGGGAUAUCGAGUGUGAUAUCGACACCUCAUAUAUUCCGGUACAAUGCAUUUGAGGAAAAUAAAAACCGAUCAUAUGUAUAAUUUUUUGUUUUCUUCCAUGCUUGGUUGUCACUUAGGUCAAUUCAGCACGAACCAACAUACUCCAUUUCAUCUUCUCAUAAAUCGAAGACAAUAAUUCCAGGAAAUGAAAAUGGGGUAUGUUAAUAAAGAAAAAAAAUAAGAGAAAAUUGCACAUAAAUAAAAUUCAAUUGAGUUCUUAAAUUACAAUGAUAUUGAAAAGAGUAGAAAUAUAUAGUUAAUUUGGUGAAUAAACAAAGUAGGUUGGAAAAAUGCGAUGAAAGCAUGAUAAGAUAGUUGUGGUUGUCUGUGGAAAUGCGAAACCCCUCUUUCUUGUUUUGUUUUGCACAUAUUUUACAAGCAAAUCCGACAAACAGAAAGAAUUGCAUAAGUCCAAACCUACUGGUAUUAUUUAGACGUUAAUAAUUGCCAGCUUUUGCCAGCUCCUACUUCAUCAUUAAAAUAUAAUUUAAAAAAAUAGACACAGAAACAGUAGUGAAGACUUUGCUCCUCAGUCCCAAAAAAUGACAACGGGAUACACUGGAUUUCCACACUUUCUCACAUGCUCGUCUUUUUCAUUUUCUGCCACGUGUAUUGUAAUGUAGCAAGGUCCCUCUGGUUCCAGCUGCGCAAACCUCACUCUCUUCCUUCAUCAUCAUCAUCAUCAUCAUCUUCUACCACUACAGCCACAAUAAACAUGCAUACCGUAUUUUUUCUUUUCAAAUAUUAUACGUAUACUUUUUGAUAUUUUAUUUCCGUUUGAGUUGAGUAGUUGUUCUCCAUUUGCAACGGUUACCUAAUAUUAUUCUCUGUUUCCAUCUACCCCAUUAUCAACUACGUAUUGCAUAUAAAACAUUAGCGAUAAUGAAAGAAAGGGUCAUGUAUCUGCUUUCUCAAUCAUUAAUGCAAAAUUACCGAAUUUAAUGAUGUUACCAUUACGAAUGGAGAAAGGGUCAAACCAAAAAUAAAAAGUGCACCUUUUCAACUGGCGGACAAAGGACGAGACACGAGUGGCAUCAACGCGGGUAAAGCACCCCGCGUUUUACUACCAGACGGAACCCAUCAACGGGCUAUAAAGGACACACGUGUGAGUUCUAGAUCAACGGUCAAAACACAAGGGCACUCUAGUAAUAUCGUUAAACGACUUUAUGAGUUGUUGAAAAGUUAUGGUCUUUCCGAGGAAAGAAAAAGUAAAAAAUAAUAAUAAAAAUGGAUUUUUUUUCAUUAUUUUCAUAGUACACAUUUUGUUUUCAUUAAUGGAAUUUUAAAUUGUAUUAUUUUUUGUUGUUAGAACAAACAGAGGGCUAGAGUGAAAAUAAAUUUAACGGGGAGAGGAGAGAGAGUGGGAAGCAUAUGAGAAUAGGAAGAUGGGUGGAAAAAACGCCGUACAGAGGGGUGGCGGAUGACAGCGACUGCUCACUGACCCACAUAACUGACACGUGUCCUGACGCAAAAGGGUGUGGAGGUAAUAUUGAGCAAGCAUAAUGGAGAAAAAGGCAAAGAAGGAACACACAUUAACAAAAAUCAAUUGGGCAGAAGAUCCACAUAUGCCAGCUAAUAUUUUGCACAUUUACAGAAAGAGAGGAAAAAUUGUAGUAGAGGCGGAAGAAAGUUGAAAUGAAGAUAAAAUAAAAAAAAAGAAUAAAGAAUAAAAAAGUGGGAAUGGAGAGUUAAGUGUUGACCCAUUAUUAUUACUCACAUCACACCGGCCUGACCUAGUCCAGGGUAUUAGGGAAGAUGAGGAAUGGGGACAGGCAGCAUAGAAGGAGUAGAUGCACAUCACAACAUAUAAAAAUAUUAAUAUAUAUAGUAAGGUUGGGAAAAUAAUGAGAUAAAAAAAAUUGUGUGUGAGCAUAUAGAAGGAAAUUAAAUUAGGACAUUGGAGUUGGAGGAAUCUUUGAGCAUUAUUGAUGCAUUAAUCGCCACUCCUUCAACGGUUCAUAUCUUACCUCUUUUUAUAUAUUCUGUUCCCUUAUCAUCUUCCACUGCUCAACUCUCUCUCUCUCUCUCUCUAACACAAGCUUCCGUUUUUCUGUUUCUCUUCUCUCUACUCAGAACAUGGGUUCUUCUGCAGUACAAUUGUUUCUCAUCUUGGGGCUUCUGGCUACUUCUUGCAUAGCACAAGCCCCAGGUGGCGCACCCACGCAGCCUCCCACAACCACCCCACCACCACCGCCCGCAGCAGCACCAGUACCUGCACCCACUGCACCCGCAACUCCACCACCAUCUUCACCACCACCUGCACCCACACCCGCACCCACACCAACUGCUCCCACUCCUGCUCCAGCUUCUUCUCCUUCAUCUGCUGCAUCUCCCUCAGCUGAGUCACCAGGCUCUCCUACAUCUCCCCCAGCACCACCGGCCCCCUCAUCUGCACCUUCACCCUCAGUCAGCGAACCACCACCCUCACCCUCCUCCGCAUUCUCCGUUGGCAAGGCCUUCGUUGCCGGGUCUGCGCUCGCGGGAACCUUCGUAGCCAUGGUCUUGGCUUGAAGACAGACCUGACGGUUGGGAUUCGUCCACGUGGAGGCUCUUGGGCCCUUGAUCUUGUUUUACAGCGACGGACGGACGGACGGGAUCUGUUUCAUUUAUUUUAUCCUCUGGUCUUGUUGAGUAGCGGUUUUCUUUUUCUCUCUUUGGGGUUUUAUGUGUUAGUUUUGUUCGUUCGUGGUUGAUGUGUUUGUUGAUUCGAUAUCUGGGAGGGUUGGGUGUUGAUGAUGAUGAUGAUGAUGAUGAUGAUGGUGAUGGUAUUCAUGAUUAUGAUGAUUAUUUUGUGAUUCAUUGUUCUGGUGUUCACACGUGUACGUAGAUGACCUUGAUGAUUUCAUUGUACAUCUAAUAAUUGAAAGAAUAAAACAGUUUGUCAUUCUUUUUACUUACAAUCUUGUUCC
rnacentral:lncRNA from 1 species